rnacentral:lncRNA from 1 species
CGGGUUGUCAGAGAAGCCGGUGGGGGCGGUGGAGAGAGAGGGGGGGAGGGAGACGGAAGGGAGGUGGAGGAAGGCGAUGGAAGGGUUGGCAGAGGAGACGGAGGAGAUGUAAGGAGUGAUGACAGGGAGGAGGUGGGGAGGGGAGGAGAACAUUCAAAAUAAGAAAAACAUUAUGUACAAAUGAGACAUACUUUUAAUUUUUAAAGUAUUAAUUGAGGUGGGCUCUUCCCGGUGAUGGGUACAUCACGAUGUGACAUCUGUCUGCCUUCUGAGAUAGCUAGUACGAGUACCUAGAGGGGGGUGAAUAGGUAUACACAAAAAAUUUCUCGAUGUUUGCACGAUACUUAAACAAUUAGAGACUUUGCAACAGUUGAAAAUUCAAUCGCAAGACUGAGUAAGGGAAAGAGAGAAUUGAACACUCAGUUUAUAGUGGUUCGGCUUGAUUCAAGCCUACGUCCACUCUUCUGCACUGACAGCCGAUUGGCUGGAUUCCACUAUGAUCAAAGAGUUGUUACAGUGUUGAUCUUCCUUGAUUUCUAGGUGUAGAUGAUCUACUACACUUGCUCAAGGUGUCACCAAGUAUAAACACUCUCAGUAUACAAUUUCGCUCAGUCUAACAAUCAAGGAUCUUCAGACUCUGGAAUUUUUCUAUCGAUCACACACUUAAAACAACUAGAACGUCUUCCUUUUAUACUCCUUCAUGCCAUCAUAGCCGUUGGCACUUACCAAAGGAAUUCCUCCAAUCUACCCGUUGGACGGAAUCAAUCAAGAAGAUCAUCCGAGCUAUAUAAGGAAUCUGAUGAUAGCCCAUCAAUCCUGUUCGCCCAUACAAUCAGGAUCUCGGUUUCCAAGAAUAGAAUAAUCCAAGAUUAUUUCGUCGACCAUCGGAUCUUCAAUCGUUCUUAGAUAAGAUAUAAAGAAUCCGAAAUGAUUAUCCAACCAAAGAAUCUAUCCCAGAGGAUAGGAUCAAAUCCUCAAUCAUAAACCUCGACUUUGGAUUUCCUUCAACACUGGAUUAGAAAGACUGUCAGUGAGAAUAACUUUGAGUCUUGAGUCUUGAGUCUUGAGUCUUGAGUCUUGAGAUAACAAAGUCUUGAGACUAUAAAAUCUUGAGACUUUAACUAUCGAUAUCCAGACUUAGACUGAUAGAAAUGUUUUGUCAGCUUCAAAAUAUUCUGGAAAGAUUUCUCCAACAAUCUCCCCCUUUUUGAUGGUGACAAAACUUUCUUGAAGAUUUGAACAACUUUGACCUGCAAAAACAUUUCUCAAGCAAUAUGGCUAACUCAUAAAGAUUAAUAAACAACCAGACUCUGCAUCCACAGCAAAUUGGUUAGUCUUUCAUGAGUAAUACCAUGUAACAAUACUUGAUAUAAAUGCAACCAGUCAAGCAUCAAAAUCCACAACCAAUUCAGUCUAACACUCAAGUUCAAGUUCUCAAGUCAUACUCAAAAAUAACCACAAAAGUCAAAUAAAGUUUUAAAAUAAUGUUUGUUCAAAUUGGUUCUCCCCCUUUUUGUCAUCAUUAAAAAGAGGGUGAGAAAGGAGUCAUGUCUGCUUGGGAAUGCGCACGAUCUGGAAAUCCCCAAUGGACUGGACUACUCCUUCGAGCUUCUUCAGAUCUUCUCGCAGAUGAGCUACCUCUUCUCUCUUGGCAUUGGCUUGAAGUUGUAGAGCGAGGUCUUUGUAUUUUUCUUCCAGAGAGACUGAAGAUGCUUGUCCAGCAUGCUUCAAGACUUGGAUUUCACAAUCCAGAAUAUAUAUCUGGUUACGCAUUUCCAGAAGAAUAUUCAUGAUACUACGAAGAUCUACAGAAUCAUCCGUCUGUGUACUGGCAUUGGCUUUCUCAGAUGGUGUGUGUGCAGACGAUGGCGCUUCUGAAUGGUCUUGCAGAUUUGGAAUCGUCGUAUCAUCUUCUUCAGGCAAUUGAGAGACCUGAGCUUCUUCUGGGUCUUCUGGAGAUUUUCUUUGAUCUUCAGCAGCAUGAGGUGGAGACCUCUCUUGCUCGCUAACUCCCCCUGUCUCUAGGACAUCGAAAGGGGAAGAGUGAUGAUCAAUCUCUUGAUUUCCCUUCUCUCCAGAUUUAUCAGCAGACUGAUCUUUUACUUCUUCUUUUUCUUCCUCAACUUCUUUCUCCUUCUCUCUCUGUUCUUCUUCUUCUCUGCUCUGCUGAAGUUCUGUCGAAUAAGACACAGAACGUCUUGUUCUUGUCAGUGCUGGAAUAGUGGGAUCUUCAUCAUCAUCAUCUUCAUCCUCAUCCUCCAGGAUAAGAAUUCUUUUCCUCUUUUUCGAAGAAGCACUAAAUGCCUUCUUUCCUUUUCCUUUUGAAGCAGACUGGACUGGAGAUUUCACUUUGAAUUUCUCCAUUGCCUUAGAAAGUUCUUGCAGACGCAUCUUCAUUAACAUUUUCAACCCUACCACCAUCUUAUCACACGGUCUAACACAAAAAGUAUGUGGCAGUUCAAUAUUCAGAUGUCUGAAGAUCUUGGUCACCAGACCAGGAUAAGGCAAUUGUCCUUUGUCUUUUGACACUGUUCUGUACAUAUGGAAAAGAAUAGUGUGCGGGAGAGAGAACUUCCGUCCUGAGUUGAUCGCAUACAUCAACUUUGCUUCAGAAAGAGACACAGAAGUCUUUGAAGUAGACUUAGGUCUUAGACAAUUGAUCACAAUCUUGUGAAGCACAAUGUUGAUAGCGUUCAUUCUUGAAUAGAUAAUUUUCUUAUCUACAUCCCUAUCUUUGACAAGAUCCAGAGUAGUUCGAGCAGGUGAGACUUUAAUUGGGAGAUAGCGUCCCCGUUCAACUCCAACUAUGUCUGCCAACAUAUUCACAUCUACCACAUAGACUUUGUCUCGAACACUGAAUGAAAUUCUAUUCGCAUCCAAAAAGCUAAGAUUUGAAUAGAAAUAAGCAGUCAGAUGAUCAUACCCGUCUGUAGAGUCAGAGCAGAAAGUCUCAAGUUGAAGCAAAUUCAACUUCUCUCUUAGGUUCAAGUUGAUGGAAUCCAGGAAGUCAAAAUCGACACUUCUAGGGUUGAUUACCCCUCUUUUCAACAGACUGUAAUACACUUUUUCUUGAUCCUUGGAUUUAAACAAAUCCAUCCGAUUUCCUUUCGCCUUUGCCGCCACACCCAUUCUAGGUUCAAAUUCAAGGAACAUUUUGUCAUCAUCAUUCGCGUCAAUCAGAUUUUGUCCUGGCAUACGAGGAUCUCUUGGAAUGUUCGCAAGAGCUUCCUCUGCUUUUCCUUUUGGGGCAAUUCCCCAUUCCUCCAUUUUCUUCAGAAAAAGAUACUCAUUCCCAUAAUUUUUGUCCUUAAGGAAGUCAUCUAUGUAGUUCAAUGGAGUACCUGUGCUUUUCAAUGCACGAUAAAGUUUAUACAAAAAGGAAGGCUUUUGAACUCUUACUGGGUCGGCAUCCUCGAUUAUCUCUUCUUCCAGAUUAUGACUUGCACUUUGUGGGGCAGGAGAUGCUGAAUGACGUGGAGGAGAGCGAAUCGGACUUUGUCGCUGACCAGAUAAGUCUUCUUCCUCAGUGAGAUCGAAAUGAGUCGGUCCCUUCUUCAUUCUUUGUGGUCCCCUGUUCGCGAUUCUUGAUGAUUUCCUUGAAGACGACAUCUUUCUUUGUCUAUUGGAGGAUUCCUUCACUUGCUUUCCCAAGAAAAAUGACCACUUUCUCGACGAUGAACAAAGAGUAGAAACAGUAUAGAGAGAAGAGUGCUUUUUAGGGUUUUGAAGAUUUGGGGAAAAACUGUAUAUAUAACUUAGUUUUUGAAAAGGGAAGUUCAAUCGGUGCAAUGGAAAGUGAACGAUUACUUCUUUUCAAAAUCUAUAACUGCCAAAAUUAUUAAACAAAAGAUCGUACCUUUUCGACUAAAUGACAAUUAGUACCUUUUAGAAGAAAUACAACUUACAGUCUUUAUCCACGAAUGUCUGAGUCUCAGGACUUAGAGUCUAAGAGAUCAGAGUCUUUAGAGUUGGUAAGUCUCUAGACUUUAACUUCUUCAAGCUUCAAAAUGUUGAGUCUUGAGCGGAUAAAGUCAAACUGAUUCUUCUCCAAAGGCUUUGUGAAUAUGUCUGCUAGUUGACUUUUUGAAUCAACAAAUUGGAUCGAGAUUUCUCCAUUUUGAAUAUGAUCUCUAAUAAAGUGAUGUCGAAUCUCAAUAUGCUUUGCUCUUGAAUGAAGGAUUGGAUUUUUGGUGAGAUUUAUAGCACUGGUGUUGUCACAUCUGAUUUCUGUGCAUGAGUCUUCAAUGCCAAAGUCUUGUAGCUGUUGUUUUAUCCAUAGAAUUUGCGAACAGCAGCUUCCAAGAGCUACAUACUCUGCUUCUGUUGUUGAAAGAGCUACAGUGCUUUGUUUCCUCGAGAACCAAGACACCGUUCUGUUUCCAAGUAGUUGACAAGUUCCAGAAGUGCUCUUUCUAUCGAUUCUGCAACCGGCCAGAUCUGCAUCUGAGUAUCCUAGAAGAUUAAAGUCUCCCUUCUUUGGAUACCAAAGACCGAUGCUUGAAGAUGAAGCAACGUAUUUGAUAAUUCGUUUCACGGCACUGAGAUGUGAUUCUCUAGGAUCUGAUUGAAACCUAGCACAGAUACAAACACUAAACAAAAUAUCAGGUCUAGAAGCAGUAAGAUAAAGAAGUGAACCGAUCAUGCUUCUGUACAGCUUUUGAUCUAUUUUCUUCCCUUCUUCAUCCUUGUCUAUCUUCUGAGAACAUGACAUUGGUAUGUCGAUCUUUUUGCAUUUUUCCAAUCCAAACCUUUUGACAAGAUCAUUCGCAUAUUUUUCUUGAUGGAUGAAAGUUCCUUCCUUCAUUUGUUUCACUUGGAGUCCAAGAAAGAAUGUUAAUUCUCCCAUCAUACUCAUUUCAAAUUCAUCCUGCAUAGACUUAGAAAAUUUCUUGCAAAGACUUUCAUUAGAAGAUCCAAAAAUAAUGUCAUCAACAUAUAUUUGAACAAGUAAAAAGUUUUUGUUUUCCUUUUUGAUAAACAAAGUAGUAUCUACUUUACCUUUGACAAAACCAUUUUGUAAUAAAAACUUACUUAAUCUGUCGUACCAAGCUCGAGGUGCUUGCUUUAGACCAUACAGAGCCUUUUUCAGUCUGAAGACUGAGUCUGGCUUCUUUGGGUCUUCAAAUCCAGGCGGUUGUUCCACAUAAACUUCCUCAUGGAUAAAUCCAUUUAGGAAAGCACUUUUGACGUCCAUUUGGAAUAACCUGAAAUUUUUGUAACAAGCAAACGCAAGUAAUAGACGAAUAGCUUCUAACCUUGCAACGGGUGCGUAAGUCUCGUCAUAGUCUAUUCCUUCUUCUUGCGUAUACCCUUUGGCCACGAGCCUUGCUUUGUUUCGUACGACUUUUCCUUUUUCGUUCAUUUUGUUCCUGAAUACCCAUUUGGUUCCAAUAACAGUUUUACCUUUUGGUUUAGAUGUCAAUUCCCAGACAUCAUUGAUGUUGAACUGUCUAAGCUCUUCUUGCAUAGCUUCGAUCCAGCUUUCAUCAGAUAAAGCUUCUUCUAAGCUUUUUGGUUCAAUUUCAGAGAUGAGAGCCACAGCACUAGAUUCUUCAUGCCUUUUUGAUCUGGUGCGGAUUCCUUCAUUAAGUUCGCCAAUAAUAAGAUCUUUGGGAUGACUGGAUUUGUGUUUCCAGUUGCCAGGUUGAUGAUCUCUUUCUUUAUUUGAUUCUCCAUGAUCGUCUUGAUGAUGGACUUCCAGAAUCUGAGAUGCUUCUUGAGAUGUAGACAUUUGAAGAUCUAGAGCGGAUUCAGUCUCAUCGUACUGAGUCUGGCUGGAUUCAUCUUGCACUGAGUCUUGGAAUUUGACAUUCAUUGAUUCUUCCACAGACUGGCUUUUUUUGUUGUAGACUCUGUAGGCUUUGCUUGAUGUAGAAUAUCCAAGGAAGAUGCCUUCAUCUGAUCUUUCUUCAAACUUACCAACUCGAUCAUUUGCAUUUUUCAAAAUAAAGCAUUUGCAACCGAACACAUGAAAGUAUGAAACAAUAGGCUUCUUACCUUUGAACAAUUCAUAGGGGGUUUUAUCAAGAAUAGGUCUUAAAAAGACUCUAUUUAUAAUAUAGCAAGCAGUUGAAACAGCUUCAGCCCAAAAUCGUGAAGAAAUUUUACUUUCAAUUAAAAGUGUUCUAGCCAUUUCUUGAAGAGAUCUAUUCUUUCUUUCCACAACUCCAUUUUGCUCUGGAGUAUACGGAGAGGAGAACAUGUGAUUAACACCAGAUUUAUCACAGAAUCUCGUAAAAUCUUGAUUUUCAAAUUCACUUCCAUGAUCUGUUCUUAUACUAGAAAUAGCACAUCCUUUUUCAUUUUGAACCUUUUUAGCAAACUUUUCAAAGUACGAAAAGGUUUCUGAUUUGUUUGCUAGAAAAUAUACCCAGGUAAAACGAGAGUAAUCAUCUACAAUUACUAGACAAUAUUUCUUACCUCCAAUGCUCUGGGUUCUUGUUGGUCCGAAGAGAUCCAUAUGAAGCAACUGUAUUACAUGAUUAGUAGAUACAUGAUUUAUUUGUUUAAAUGAAUUUUUUACCUGCUUUCCCAGAAUGCAUGGAGUACAUAAGUCAGACUUUUGGUAUGGCAGUUUAGGUAGACCUCGAACAAGCUGCUUUGAAGAGAUUUUGGCUAAUUGCUUCUUGUUGAUAUGGCCAAGCUUUCUAUGCCAUAGAAUUGCUUCAUCUUGAAUUGAAAUUAAGCAUUGUUCUUCAUUUGGCUUUACAUCAAGGAGGUAGAUGUUUCCAUGCCUUCGACCCAUGAAAGACUGAGUCGAAUCUUUGCUAAUUCCAGAACAAAUGCCUUCUUGAAAGAAGAUCUUGUAACCAGUAUCACACAAUUGGCUAAUGCUGAGUAGAUUGUAGUUGAGUCCUUCCACUAGAGAGACAUUGCUUAUUGUGAGAUUUCCAAUUUUCGCAAUUCCGAAUCCCACAAUACUUCCUUUGCUAUUUCCUCCGAAUGAAACUUUUCCACCAUUCACUUUAAUAAGCUUUAUGAAACACUCUGAGUCUCCUGUCAUGUGUCUUGAACAUCCGCUGUCAAGAUACCACUUUACCUUCUUUUUGACAGAGACCUGCAUUCAAAAAAGAGUCUCAAGCUUUCUUUGGUACCCAAAUUUUCUUGGGUCCUUUCGUGUUAGUAGGAUAAGCAUUAUUAGGCCAUACUCUCUUCACAGGCUUCCAAACCAUAGGACACUCUUUUUCAAAAUGAUCCUGACUGUUACACUUAGAACACCUUAAAGCAUUUCGACCUACAGGCUUUACAAAGACUUUUUUGAAAUGAUUUUUAUAAGCCUCUCUCGAUGGUCUUUUCUUAAUUCUUUCUUUUACUUUUGGAAAAUCAAUCAAAGGGAUUGUUUCUUCUGUCAUACCUAGACCCGACUUAUUAAAGUAAGGUCUUUGGAUUGAAAGAACUUUUUCAAGUUUUUCGGACCCUAUUGAAAAUUUCUUUGAAAUAUUUGAUAAAUCAGUUUUUAAGAAAACAUUUUCUUUUGAAAGAUUGUCUUCACUCUCUUUAAGAGUAGAAACAUUCAAGUCUAAAUUUUUUACCUUUUCUUCUAAAAUGAUUUCCUUUUGUUUUAAAAAUGAGUUUUCCUUUUUAAGUUCGGAAAUCCUUUUAAGAGAAGUCUUAAGACUAAAACAUAACUCAUUAAUAUAUUUAGAGACUUUGACAGGGAUUUUAUAAUUACUUACCUCAAAUUCACUGUCUGAGUCUGAUCCAGAGUCUGAGUCUGAUUGCGCCAUUAGACACAGGUUGGCAUAUUCCUCAUCACUCUCUUCACACUCUGUAUCGCUCCAGGUUUCGGCUUUAAGAGCUUUUCGAAAUUUCUCAGCUUUUCCUCUUUUCUUUUUCAGAAGAGGACAGUUGGGUCUGAUGUGUCCCUUCUUUUUACAUUCGAAGCAAACUACUUCUUUGUUUGGUUCCUCAUCAUCAACAGACUUGGUCUGCUGUCUCUGAGAAUUUUGUUUCCUUGGGAUAAACCUUCUGCCUUUUCUAUUCAGUUUUCUGAAUCUUCUUAUCAUGAGGGCGAGCUCCUCAUCAUUCAUAUCAUCUUCAGAAUCUGCAUCAUCAGAAUCAUCAUUUGAUUUUAGUGCAAUAGAUUUCUUACCUCUUGGAUCUUCGUCUUCAUUAAUUCGUUCCACUUCGUAAGACUGAAGAGUUCCAAUCAGUUCGUCUACAGAUAAUGGCAUGAUUCUUUGCGUCUCUCUUAUUGAAGUCUUUAUAUGAUUCCAAUCCUUGGAGAGUCCACGUAGAAGCUUGUUCACCUUCAUGGGAUCAGAAAUUUUUUGUCCUUGGUUCUCAAGACCAUUGACAAUAUCUGUAAAACGACUAAACAUGUCAGUUAUAGAUUCUCCUGGUUUCAUUUUGAAGGAUUCAUAUUGACCAAGAAGAAUGUUAAUUCUGGUCUCCUUCACUCGAUCUGUUCCUUCAUAAGUGAUAUGUAACCUGUCCCAGACUUCUUUUGCUGUGACACAAGAAGAUAUUCUGUUAUAUUCAGUUGGUGACAAAGCACAAUAUAAAGAAUAAAUUGCUUUAGCAUCAAGUGCUUGUCUCUUGUUUAUUUCUUCUUGAGACAUUCCGCUGGUUUCAACGGUUUCUUUUCCUCUUUCAGUGUUUGAUGCAGCAGCAAUAGUGAUUCCUUUUUCCACUACGUCCCAUUCCAGAGGAUCCUUUGAUCGUAGGAAAGCUUUCAUCUUGUUCUUCCAGAUGUUGUAAUCCUUUCCAUCGAAGUAGGGAGGUCUGGUAUUGCUUUGCCCCUCCAUCAGCCCAGGUGCUAGCAUACUAGCCAUGGAUCUUUUACUCUGAAGUAAAACACUUCAAACAAAGUAAGAACACAGGCUCUGAUACCAAUUGAGAUAGCUAGUACGAGUACCUAGAGGGGGGUGAAUAGGUAUACACAAAAAAUUUCUCGAUGUUUGCACGAUACUUAAACAAUUAGAGACUUUGCAACAGUUGAAAAUUCAAUCGCAAGACUGAGUAAGGGAAAGAGAGAAUUGAACACUCAGUUUAUAGUGGUUCGGCUUGAUUCAAGCCUACGUCCACUCUUCUGCACUGACAGCCGAUUGGCUGGAUUCCACUAUGAUCAAAGAGUUGUUACAGUGUUGAUCUUCCUUGAUUUCUAGGUGUAGAUGAUCUACCACACUUGCUCAAGGCGUCACCAAGUAUAAACACUCUCAGUAUACAAUAUCGCUCAGUCUCAACUAACAAUCAAAGGAUCUUCAGACUCUGGAAUUUUUCUAUCGAUCACACACUUAAAACAACUAGAACGUCUUCCUUUUAUACUCCUUCAUGCCAUCAUAGCCGUUGGCACUUACCAAAGGAAUUCCUCCAAUCUACCCGUUGGACGGAAUCAAUCAAGAAGAUCAUCCGAGCUAUAUAAGGAAUCUGAUGAUAGCCCAUCAAUCCUGUUCGCCCAUACAAUCAGGAUCUCGGUUUCCAAGAAUAGAAUAAUCCAAGAUUAUUUCGUCGACCAUCGGAUCUUCAAUCGUUCUUAGAUAAGAUAUAAAGAAUCCGAAAUGAUUAUCCAACCAAAGAAUCUAUCCCAGAGGAUAGGAUCAAAUCCUCAAUCAUAAACCUCGACUUUGGAUUUCCUUCAACACUGGAUUAGAAAGACUGUCAGUGAGAAUAACUUUGAGUCUUGAGUCUUGAGUCUUGAGUCUUGAGUCUUGAGAUAACAAAGUCUUGAGACUAUAAAAUCUUGAGACUUUAACUAUCGAUAUCCAGACUUAGACUGAUAGAAAUGUUUUGUCAGCUUCAAAAUAUUCUGGAAAGAUUUCUCCAACAAUUCUAUCCAAGUUUAUUGGUCUAGUGUUUUUAUCCUUCCCGCCGCGGUGGCUUUAUAGCCUCGUUCGGGACGCAAGCAGUGGAGUUACGAGAGCAAGACUGGCUGAUGGAAAAGUAGGAUGAUUUACGGUUUAAUUGCGAUGUUAGUUGAAAUAGGGUUCACCAAUAUCCCUUUCUUCCUUCUGAUUACAGUGUUGUUGACAGCUCGUUUUCUGCAAUUAUAAUCAUCAUCAACCUGAAGGUUUUAGGUGUCAUCCCUAUCGAGAGCCUUGGCUACUUAGCUGUAGAGGAAAAGCAAUGAGGUGAAAGAGAAUUACGUACCUUCUGAAGCUGAAGAAUUUUGACUACGAAGGAUCGAAGGACACUGAUUUGAUGACUGCAUUAGUGCUGAAAAUAUUCUGCACUUAAUGUAACUCUGUACAUUUCAUUACUUUGUGUCAGUAGUUAACUGAAUGAUUUCAGUAAAAAAACCCAUUUACAAUCAUAUGUAAAGACAAUAUUCUUGGUUGAACAUAGUAACGUGGUGCAUCUUUUACUAAUAGGUUUUACAUGGGGGCAACAAUGUCACCCCUAGUCACGUCAAAAUCCCUAGCAAAGCUCCGAUGGAUAAUACAACAUCCUGCAGCAGCCUUACAAUUUCCAAUAAGGUCCACAGUUUGUAUCAUAGCUCAUAAGAAACAUUGUUUGCAUUUUUUUAUUAUUUUGCUUAUUUUAUAAGGAAAAGCAUAUAUUACCUAUCUACCCAAGAAUAGUUAUUUAGAAGCUCACACCAGCAGUUCUAAUAGUAUCUUGCAGUCUGAGCAUUUGACAGUCUGAUGGCUCAUCCAAGACCUAUAACGUGAAAUUCGUGAGUGAAGUUAUCAGCAAAGUCAGGUUAGGUACAAGAUUUUAUAGACGCCCUAAACACAUUAAAUGAACUGAUAUUUGUAAAAGGGUAGAACUCAACAUUUUCGUCUUUAGCAAGAUGCGAUUCCUAUCCCAGGAAGUCUCUGACUAAAAUAAGAACAAAAAAGAAAUAAUUCACUUAGACUGGCUUGAGUAUUUUCUGGUUGGUUGUCCAUUAAAAAGGAAAAGACAGCAGGUGUAAGAGGCAAAAGAUUCUGAAGGUUCUAUACCUAUACGCAAAUGACAAGUCCUCGUACACUUUUCAUCACAUCAUGAAAAAGAAGAAAAGAUGGCCUACUUGACACAAUUCCUUGGGGCCAGUAUCUGAGGAAUGUUCGAAAGAGAGGGGGAAAAAAGGACGGCCCUUCCUGGAUCAAGGCAUUUUUAUGUAUCAUGAAAAACAGAUCAACUAACUUUCAGAGUUGCAGGAGAAAAGGAAGAAGAUGAACCACCCAGCGUCACAAGAGAGAGCUUGAGAAUCCGCACUACAUUUUUCUGUCUCAAGGAAAGACAGAUUAACUAAGUUCGCAGUUGCCAAAGACAAGGAAGAAGAUGAAGCUCCCAGCGUCACAGGAGAGAGCUUAAAAAUCCACACUAUUUAUCAGGAUAGGGAUCAUGAACGAUAGCUUUCACAUUACGUCACAAGACUGAGUAGCAAUUGUGGAGGUGAUUAUCAAUAUAACAGAGACUUUGCUCAAAAGUCAACAACGCCAUUACUAAACUGGACCCCGUUUCGGAUUACUUUAAGGUGCAUCUGCUAGUCUAUAACAUGAUGCCCUCUGUCAAAAAGAGUCCUUCAAAUAAUUGCAUCUAAUAAUACAUGUUCUUCACAAAUCAAACCAUGAACUAUCAUUGGGUCCAAAAAUUUUAAAGAACACAGAAAAAUUACAUAUAUCACCAACUUCAUUGAAUUUAUGAAAAUAUUCUCUGCAGAUCUUUGAAGAAAUUGGACACCAUCACAAUGUGCGAUAGCAUCAUGAAUUCAUAGUAGGUCAAACUAAGCCCGAGUGGAGCUUAAUGCAAAUUGGUGGUGGGUUUUUGAGUCAAUACAUGUUAAGCAAAAUUAAAAACAAAGCCUUGUCUAUCCGACUUGAUAUAUGGCCCUUAGUCAGGAGCUAGAGAAACCCCUUAUGGAAAUUGGGAACGUUUGUGUGUCCUCAUGCUUCUUAAGUUGAUUUAAUUCACCUUCCGUUCACCGGAAAGAACUCAAACCCAACUGGGUUUCCGAGAUGUUCUUUGAGUUCGAAGUCUCCAGAUCCGAAACACCCUGUUUUGACUUUUAUACAGCACGAUCUGUUUAUAUAAUUGUUAUUGUUCUUAGGCACGAAAUCUAGUUGAUCAGGAAGGAAUCGGUAAUAUUCCAUCGACCUAUUCACAUGCCCUCGAUGAGUAGUUGCUCAGCUUGAAAUUUUUGAACUUUUUCACUUUCAGUACAGUUGUAUAUGGAAAUUAGAAAUUUUAUGAGCUUAAGCACACUAAAGGUCGACCUGAUUCAUUAUCAGAUGUCUAGUAGAGCAACAGAGUUUACCAUGCAUACUUGAGCUCAAUAAGUGCUCAAGCUACUCAAAUUCAAAUCGAAUUUGAAAAGAAUCGAGCUGACUUUGAAUAGUCUAUGAGUUAAGCUCAAGCAACUCAUGAGAAGCUGAGACCUAUAUUAUCUGUGUACUUGUUUUUAUUGUGUUAUCAAUGUCGAAAAAUUGUGCUUGUUUUAGGCUUUUAGUUAUGCUUUCAGCUUGAAAAAAAGCUAAAUUUGAUGGCUCCAAUUUUUGUUUUGCCUUAUUCAGGCGAUCCAUUCAAAAUUCAAAUGUUAAUGGAAGUGGACAUGGACCAAUCCAGUGAUGCUAUGAGUCUCAUAAACUCAUUAGAAUAUGAAGGUGAAGAAGACUUCGAAGAGGCACCCAAGAUGAGCAAGGUGCCCAAUCUUCGUCCUCUCGGUAAACAAAAAUCAACAAUAUGGCUUCAUUUUCAUAAAGGGGAAAGCCGAGAAUGGGAAAACUGAAGUCUUUUGCAUUUAUUGUGGGGCCAAGUAUAGUUACAAUAUUGAUAACAGAACUUCUGCUAUGUUGAAGCAGUUGAAAAAGUGCAACAAGUAUCCCCACAAUUUAGAUAAGAAGCAAAAGUUGUUUGCCCCACAUAAAGUGAAUGAGACUCAAAUGACACUGGGGCAUAUUACUAGUAUUGGUAGUGCUAAUGUCUUAACGACAUGGAAAUUUGAUCAAAAUCAUUGUAGGCAAAUGCUUGUUCAGAUAAUCAUAAUGGAUGAACAACAUCUUCCAAUGGUUGAGUGUGUUGGAUUCCAUAAUUAUGUUAAUCAAUUACAGCCCCUCUUCAAUCACAUCUCACGAUUUACUGUGGCUAGGGAUUACAUGGAAUUGUUUCUUUGUGAAAAAGCAAGAUUGAAGACUUACUUUCAUAAGCUUAAUCUAGGGUCGCACUCACGACCGAUACAUGGAGUUUCAUUCAAAAUUUGAACUAUUUAUGUCUCAUUGCACACUUUAUUGAUGACAACUGGAAAUUGCACAAAAGAAUCAUGAAUUUUGUGGCGAUGCCUAGUCAUAAGGGUAAGGAUAUUGGGAAAAUGGUUGAGAAAUACAUCUACAAGUGGGAAAUAGAGAAAAAAGUGUUCACAAUUGUUAACACCUAAAUUUUGAUGACCCAAUCAUUUAUUUAUUGCAUAAAAAUUAGGGAUUUUUUUUACCCCUACAAAUAUAUACAUACAUAUAUAUAUAUAUAUAUAUAUAUAUUAUAUAUAUAUUAUAUAUUAUAUAUAUAUAUAUAUAUAUAUAUAUAUAUAAAUUAAAUUGCGUAGCAUUUAGUUUUAGGAGCAUUUUUUUUAUUGCAUUUGCAUCGAACUGGUGACAGAUGGGUUUGAAUUGGUAGUUCUAAGCUUUAAUUUGACGAGUUGGACUAAGCCCACCAAGAGAGCAAAUUAGCCCGAGCCCGUUAUUUUUUUUUUAUGACUAAAAAUUAUCUUGUGAGAAAUGGAGAUUUGAUAUUUUCGGUGAUAUGAUGAUGGAUUUUUCAAUAUCCUUGGAAAGGGCAAGUGUGACAAGGAGAUAUUAUGAACUCAUCUUUGUAAGAUUUGAAAUUUGAGAAAAAUCAUAUUACAACCUUGAAUCUUUGGCAAUAUGUGAUAAAAUCAGUGGAGAAUAUUCAUUUUUGCAUAAUCCAAAGAUGCAAAGGAAAUCAAACAAGGCUAGAAGAACUGUCGAAAAUAAAAAAGAGAUAUUGCAUUCGAGAGGAGAUCUUCGUGUAUGUUGAUAUGAAAAAGGAGAUAAAAGCUUCAGUCCCUUGCCUAUAAAUUGGCUCGCAUACAGAUGAAAAGCAGGGGCUUUUUCUUUGUUCUUUUGGGAAAAGCACACAGGAAAAGAAGGAAAAAGAACUCUUGAGGGGUCAAAGUCAAGUAGCAGAGAAGGUACAGAGAGAAGACGUGUGGCCAGCAGAGAGAGAAAAGAAAAAAAAAAGAACAACAACAACAACUGUUCUUCUUCUUCGUAAUGACAAAAAGCAUAUUGGAGAUUUGGGAAAUGCUUUUCCUCUAUAUUGAUUGUAUACAUUUACAUUGGUAAAGUUAUAGUGUAAGAGACAAAAGAAUAAAAUAGGAAAAAAUAAUAAAUGAAUCACUAUUUUCCUAUUUUCCAAUUUACCAAACUAAUUCACGAUUGACCGGAUCACAAUCGACUGAAUCACAAUUGACAGAAUUGGGAUCUUCAAGAUAUAUUUCCAACACUCCCCCUCAAGCUGGUAGCCUAUAAAUGUCAAGGAUACCUAACUUCAAUAGGUACCUAUGCUGUUUCCAACAUAAUGCUUUAGUGAAGAUGUCCGCAGGUUGCUCUAUUGUUCCAAUUCCUUUUGUCACGAGAACUCCAUCUUUGAUUUUAUCUCGAGUGAAAUGACAAUUCACUUCUAUGUGUUUUGUUCUCUCAUGAAAAACUGGAUUUGCCGCUAAUUUAAGUGCAGCAUCAUUAUCACAAAACAAUAUUUGGUCCACUGACCUGUCCUCCAAGAUCCAAGAGUAGUCCUCAUAUCCAGACUAUUUCGCAGGUAGCCUUUGCCAUGGCUCGAUACUCUGAUUCCGUAGAUGAUAGUGAUACAGUUGACUGCUUCUUCGUCUUCCAAGAGAUUAAUGACUUUUCCAGCUUACCCACCCAUAGGUAGUGUAGUUAGUCUGAGUUCUCCCCAUCAUCGUCGAGGUCGAGAGUUCAAACCCUCUCGUUGCAUUUCCAUGACUUAAGUGGGGGUCCCAGAGGUGGAUUACUAGGCCAGUUCCCCCCUCCCCCGAGAUUUUACGUCUAAAUAGUAGCUUGCGAUGAGGCCUAACGGUGCUACCAAGCACUGGAGGGUCAUGUGAUCCCAAAGGGUGAUCUCUGGCGGCUCCUCGGUCAUCAAAAAAAAAAAAAAGACUUUCCCAGCUUUAUACAAAAACCAGUAAUGGAUCUUCUAGUCAUUGGACAAGUGGCAUAAUCGGUGUCACAAAAAGUUGUCAUCUUCAUAUUACAGUCACGAGAUAGAAGUAUACCAAGGCCUGGACAUCCCUUCAAAUACUUCACAACCUUCAACACCGCAUUCAUAUGUGAUUGCUUUGGCAUAUGCAUGAACUGACUGAGUAUUUGUACUGCAUAAAAUAUGUCAGGUCCUGUCAUUGUAAGAUAUAUCAAUUUUCGGACAAGUCGCUGAUAUUCAGAAAGAUCUUUGAGCACUGAGUCCUUGAUGGUUGAAGGGGAAUUAAGGUCAUAUUCAUGCGUUGUCAAUUUGACAUUAUGCUCAACUGGAAUGACUACUAGUUUACAUCCUGAUAACUCUUCUUCAAAAAUAAUCUCCAAGAUGAACUUCCUUUGACUGAGGCAAAUUCCUUCAUCAGAUCGAGCAAUCUCGAUACUGAGAAAAUAUUUUGGUGGUCCCAAAUCUUUGAUAUGAAAAAUGGAGUGCAAAUACCUUUUGAACUUGACAACAUUAGAAUCAUUAUUUCCCAUGACAAGUAUAUCAUCGACAUAUAUCAACAAAUAAUUGAUGAGUCUUUUGUAGUUCGUGUAAACAAGGCAUAAUCAUACUCAAAAUGCUCAAAACCUGCAUUGGUUAGUACAACAGUGGAUUUGGCAUACCAUUGUCUAGAUGCCUAUUUUAAUAUGUAUAUGGAUUUGAGAAGACGAUAUACCCGAGACUCCCCUUGUUUGCGUAAUCCUUAAGGAAUAUCCAUGUAGAUUUCUUCAUCCAUAUCACUGUGGAGAAAAGCAUUAUGCACAUCCAUCUAAUGGAGGGACUAAUUCCGUAUGGCUGCAACGGACAAGAAGGAACGUACAGUGACUUCUUUAGCUACUGGAGAAAAAGUCUUAUGGUAGUCAAAGCCUUCUUUUUGAGUGAAUCCCAAAUCGAGCUUUAUAACGCUCAAUAGGACCAUCUGCCUUGCAUUUGAUCUUAUAAACCCAUUUGUAGCCAAUCGGUUUCUGUCUUGGGGGCAAGGGGACAAUAUCCCAGGUGUGAUUCUCCAUUAGAGCAGUAAGUUCGGAUUCCAUCGCAUGUCGCCAUCUAGGAUCUUGUGUUGCCUCAGCGAAUGAGGAUGGUUUCUGUUCUUUUGAUAUACAACCGAUACAACACAUGUGUCCUAGUGAUAACUAAUUAAAUGACACAUAUGAGGUAAUGGGAUAUUGUGUACUUGAAGAACUCGUCGCAGAACAUAUGUAAUAUUGGGUCCAUGUAGGCGGACGAGUGUGCCGUCCGGAACGUCGAGGCCGCUCAAUGAUAUGUGCCGGAGGAUCCGAUGACUCAUAAAUAACUGGUGAAGCAACUGUUAAUGAAGGAGACUAAGAAAUGUCUUUAGAUAAACUUGGCGAUGUUGUUUCUGGAGGUGUAGAUUCCAUCGGUACAGACAGAGAUGGUCCUGAUGAUAUAGAUGGUCCUGGUACGAUAAGGAACCCUGGUGCCGAAGAUAAAGAUUCAUCGGACAAAAAAUGUCUGUCAUGCCUGUCACGACCUAAAUUUUCGGGUGAACCACCUAAAGUUUAGGUUAAUGGACUACUAAGUCUUUAAACUUAGCUCGAGCUCUCCCAAGCCCAUACCAAUUCGCAACUUAAGGUUCAAGUUCUUAACAUGCAAUUGAUUUUUUAAUCAGGAGUCGCCACUAAUCUAUUUUUUGGUGGAUCGAUUAGAAACCCAAGUAAAGUAACGAGAGUUUCACUUUACUUCUACGAACCAGAGACUAAGGGUACAAGGACUUGGUUAUACUAGAUUUCUCUAAUGCCCUUUUGGUACCAUUCUUUUAUUUUGAAAAAUGUUUUUUUGCAGGCAACUUAAAUUGAUUUUAAAUCUAAUUCCCUAACAUGUGAGGUAAUUAUGUGGGUGUGCAAUCUAUCAAUUUAACACCCAAAUAAACAAUGAAUAAAAUGCAAAAGUUACCUCGAAGCAAUGAAAGUAACUGCAAUGUUAAUUCAAAAUCCAUAUCAACAACCUUAGAUAUGAUUUCUAAUUAACACGCAAUUCCUUUUUUAUUUAUAUUUUCACUUGAUUAAUGGAAAUUAUACAAUAUGCAAUGCAAUAUGACUUAAUUCUAAUGACAUGCAAUUUUUAAUUAAAUGAACCUAGCAAUAGUCACUAAAUGGCAUGCAUUUCAUGAAUCUAAUCCUAAUGACAUGCACAUGACAUUUUUUAUUUUAUUUUCUUUCUUUUUUUUAAAAAAAAGAAUGCAAUCUAUCCUAAAUAUUGAAACUAAUUUAUUCUAAGACAUUUUUUUGUAUUUUUUAUGAAAUUCGAAAUUAGAAAAAUGUGAAAAUGAUCUAAUUAGAUGAAGAUCCUAUUCAAUUUGUAUUAGGAAUUAGGUUGAACUAAAUCCUAAUUUAAACUAAAAUAUUAUCUUAACUCAAAUAAUCCUAAAAUGCAAUCUAUUCAAGAAAAUACCUAAACUUAUAAUAAAUUAAGAAAAGUAUUAUCUAAAACUAAACUAAGUGUAGUUUUACCCUAAUAUGCAAUGAUAUGCAAAACAUGCCCUAAUUCUACAUGACAAAUGCAUGAUGAUUUUUUUUUUUGUUUUUCCUUUUUUCUUUGUUUUUUAUUUCGAAAUUAAUAAUUGCCAAAUAAUUAAACAUGCAUUCCAAGUUUAAAAAAAAAAAACUAGCAACCUAAAUAAAUUGAUUUGACUUCUUUUUUUAAUUAUUUUUUUGAUUUUUUGAUUUUUGAUUUUUAUUUUUUAAAAAUUUUGAAAUAAUAAAACUCUUAUCCUAAACAUGCAAGAUAACCCUAAACCAUGCAAUAUUCUAAUUCAAACAUAUUUCAAAAUAAAUAAAGCAAUCAAGACAAGCCAAACCAAAGAUAUCAUACAUCGUUCAGAUCAAGGAAUAGUAUUUCGCUAGUAAAAUCCAUAAAUUGAUCUUAAGCCUUAAAGAUCAAAAUAUCAAUUUUAUUCUUGCUUAAUUAAUUAUUUCAUCUAAAGCCUUAUAGAUGAAAUAAAAAAUUCAAGUGCGGUUGCGAAUCAGGUGGCACAUCAUAAUUUCUAAAUAUGCAUAGGGAAACAUUUCAGCUAAAGAGAAAAAAGAAAUAUAUAAAAUAUAGAUAAAAUGAAUCUGCAUAAUAAAAUAAAGUAAAUCUACCUAAUUUGAUUUUUUCUUUUUUCUUUUCCAAAACAGAGCUUGGCAACCAAUCCAGAGCUUUGGCGCGGGAAGUCGGGUGCUGGUGCAGACGCAGGUAAGGCGAGCAGCGGUAGCGUGGGCGCGAAGCUGGCUGUCGAGCACCGAGGAGAGGUGAGUAGCGACGGUGUGGGCUCUAGCGGUGUCGGGUCACGACAGGGACAGCGGUGCGGCGACGGCUGAGCGUUGGGCAAAGGCGAGCAGGGGCGGUGUGGUCUCUAGUGCUGUAGAUCGGCGACGGUAGAGGCGGAGCUAGGGUGCUCGAGUCGCGGUGGUGCGGCUCCAGUUGGGCUGGCGAAGAACAGACACGCGGUGGCAAGUGGCCAAAGGCAUGGCUGAUGCAGGCGCGGCGGCGAUGUCGGGCUUCGAGCAGAAAGGCUGCAACCGUGGACGCAGUUGCAAACGUCGGCGCUAGUGCAGCGACGGCAAGGUAGAGAGGGAGGCGCGACGCGGAGGUGCAGUGGCCGGCGCGAGGGAAUGCUGGUGUGGCGUUGGCAGUAAGGCGCGGCGACGGUGCUCGUGGUAGCGCAGCGGCAAGCGGGCUUCGGGUCGAGCAAAGGCCGAAGGCAGGAGCGUUGCUACUGCUCGGAGGUCGACGGCGUAGCCCGAAGACCGAAGAUGCAGGGACCGGCGGUGCAGCAAAAAUAACCCCCUAGAGAAGAUGAACAGGAGGGGUCUUGUCAAUUGUUUUUUUUUUCUUUUUCCCUCUUCUCUCUCACGUCCCCUCACGUCCACUCUUUGCAGCACUCUUUUGACUUUUUCUUUCACAAACAAAUGAAUUCUUUCUUUUUCCUCUUGAAUUUUCAACUCCAAUCACUCGAAGGAAAAAGCCCCCAAAACUUCCACACGUAUUUUGCUCUCCAAAAUUUCGAGUAGAAAGGCUGCAACCGUGGACACAGCUGCAAACGUCAACGCCGGUGCAGCGACGGCAAGGUAGAGAGGGAGGUGCGACGCGGAGGUGCGGUGGCCGACGCGAGGGAAUGAUGGUGCGGCGUUGGCAGUAAGGCGCGGCGACGGUGCUCGUGGUGGCGCAGCGGCAAGCGGGCUUCGGGUCGAGCAAAGGCCAAAGGCAGGAGCGUCGCUACUGCUCAGAGGUCGACGACGUAGCCCGGAGACCGAAGAUGCAGGGACCGGUGGUGCAGCAAAAAUAACCCCCUAGAGAAGAUGAACAGUAGGGUCUUUUCAAUUGUUUUUUUUUUCUUUUUCCCUCUUCUCUCUCACAUCCCCUCAUGUCCACUCUUUGCAGCACUCUUUUGACUUUUUCUUUCACAAACAAACGAAUUCUUUCUUUUUCCUCUUGAAUUUUCAACUCCAAUCAAUCGAAGGAAAAAGCCCCCAAAACUUCCACAUAUAUUUUGCUCUCCAAAAUUUCGAAUUCCCCCCCCCCUGAUUACGAAAAAUAAAGCUCUCUUUUAUACUGAUUACGGAUGACUGCUUUGUAUGGCAUAUUUCAAACUUCCAUCUUCUAUUGCAUUAAAUCAAGGAUGCAAAUCGGAGCAUGAUUUCGCAAUCAGCUCGAUUUUGCACCGAUUCCUUCCAUUUUAUCAAAAUCCUUGCCCUUUGUUCACCUGAUUUUUAAUUGUUUAUGCAUUUAUCAAAAUCUGAAUAUCCAUAAGAAUUUCAAAUUUCCAUGCAUAAUCAAUCAAAUCGAUUUCCUCUAUUUUUUUUUCAAUUUUCCUUUUAUUGGUUCAAAAUGCAAUUUUAUUUUUUCAAAAUUAGGUGUCAACAAUGCCCUAAUGGUAAAGAGGGCUGUGAUGAAGAAACCAUUUCUUCAAACGGAAACACAUCUUCGUGGAAUACAACAUCCCUGCUAAUGAAGAAAGUCCCUGUAAAAAUCUCCAUAACUCGAUAUCAUUUCUAAAGAGGAGGAUAUCCCAUGAAAACGCACUGAGUGGUCCGAGGGCCCAUUUUAUUUUGAGGACCUACAUUUUUCGCAUAGCAUAAACAACCAAAUACUUUAAGGUGAUUGUUAUUAGGCUAUUUGUUGUAAAGCAUCUCAAAAGGGGUCCUACCAUUAAGAAUCCUAGUUGGCAUGCGAUUAAUCAAGUAGGCUGUUGUGACCACACAAUCUCCCAAAAAUAUUAUGGAAUAGAAGCUUGGUAUUUUAAAGCACGAGCUAUCUCUAACAGGUGCCUAUGUUUGCACUCAACGACUCCAUUUUGUUGUGAAGUGUAAGUGCAGGAGCUUUCAUGAAGUAUGCCAUGAAAAGAUAAUAAUGUGUUGCAAUCAGAAGUGAAAAAUUCACACCCAUUAUCUGUACGGAUUCGUUGCAUAUUUACCAAACUAAUUCCUCAUUAUGGAAAGGAAACUUGACAAAUUACCAAAAGUUUGGAUUUUCGAUUGCAUUAGAUAUACCCAGGUGACACGAGUGUAAUCAUCAACAAUUAUAAGGAAGAAUCGAGAUCCAUCACCGUGAGGGGUAUGAUAAGGUCCCCAGAUAUCCAUAUGAAGCAAUGAAAAAGGAUUUGUUGCACGAGAUGUACUUUUUGGAAAUGAUGCUCGAGAUUGUUUAGCUAAAGGACAUAUUGGACAUUUUGGAUGAGGAAAAGAUGCAUUGUGACCCAAUUGUUGAUGAGAAAGGAGGUUUUUAUUUUUACUAAUGGCAUUACAAGAAACGUGCUUAUUCAAAAAUUCUAAAUCUCCUGGGGAAUUGUUCCAGAAAUAGAGUCCCUGUGCCAUACUAUCCAAGCCCAUCACUCUGCCACUCGAAUGGUCCUGAAAGAGACAAUUGUCUGAAUUGAAUAUGGCAUGGCAAGAGUUAUUCUCACAUACUCUUGAGACAGAUAGAAGAUUGAAUUCAAAUUCUGGAAUAUAUAGGACAUUUUUUAGGAUAAAAUUUUGACCAAGAUGUACAUUUGUGAUGUUCCCAUUUGGGAGACGCACCGUGACGGGAUUCUGGCAUUUUAUAUAUUUGAGAAAACAGAUUUUUGUUGCAUACUAUGUAGUCACUAGCAUCUAAAUCGAUAAUCCAUACAUCAACUAAAAAUGAAUUCUUGUUGUAAAGGAAGGUACCUGAGAAUCCUGCACCAUUAUUGCUAGUCUUGAAUUGAUCCAACGUCUAUACAAUAUUCUGAUAUUGUUCUUGGGUGAUCAUUUGAUGAGGUGAUCCAUCAUCCUUUUGUACGGAAACCUGAGAAACUGUGGAUUCUCUCUUUUUGUCAUUGUCAUUAGGUUUUCCAUGCAGCUACAUGUUUCAAAAGUAUGAUGCGGACAUUUAUAGUAGUCGCAAUAUUUAUUUUUAAAUCAGGAAUUUUUCCUACUGACCUUUCUUGCGGACGUGGCAUUUCGCAGCCCAUAGGAUCUGUUAUUAAGAGGCGCUGAUGUGGCACGAUCCCAUCUGUCCAAUUCUGUUGAAGCCGCAGACAAAUGGUGACCGUCCGAUCCAACGUGUUGAUCUCGUCCGUCCAUUCCAGCGUUGAGAUCCCAGCCGUCAGAUCCAACGUGUUUAUUUGGGCCGUCCAUUCUAGAUCAACGAUCCUAGCUAUCCACUCCAAAUCUUUGAUCCAAGCCGUCCGUUUGCAAGGACUUAAGGUUUCCUCCAUUUCUUCUUGCCGCAACCACGACCCUUUGUCUCUCAGAUCUGUGGAGGUUCCACCGAAGGUCAUCUCGCUGGAGGGAAGGACGGUAAGGCUCAUGCCCUCACCUACCCAAGCGUGUUCGGCAACGGCCAUCCGAUGGUGCUCCUUUUGGAUGGCCAACUGGUAGAUGCGGCCGAGUGGCGGUGGAGGGUCUAUUGCGAGGAUCUACGACUAGAAAGCCAAGAAUGACUCAUUAGGAAUCAAUAAGAAUCUCGUCGUUUUUUCUCUUUCUUUGAUUUCGCGAUACUGUUUGAGGGUGUUCUCGGGCCCUGGAGUUGCUCUUCGGCAGCCUCAAGCUCAUUCCAUAGAGCAAAGAGGCUGUUGAAGCAAGAUAUAACCGAGAGGUUCCCUUGCUUCAACUCUAACAAAGCUUGAGUGAUGGUGAACAACUUCGCUUGAUCGAGGCGUCCAUACAUCUCGCAUAUGUUGUCCCAAAGGGUUCUGAAAUCUUCGGUAGGUGGAAGCCCGACCGUGAUUUCUGGGGUGAGGUAGUUGCCAAGCCAUGUGCAAACCAGUUGGUUGCACUUGCGCCACUGCCUUUGAAGCCAUUCAUUGGCCGAAAAUGGGACGGCUCCGUUGAGGAAGCCAUCCUUGUCUUUGGUGAAAAGGGCGCGUUGGAGAUCUCGAGCCCAAGCCGUGUAAUUCUCUGGUCCAGUAAGCUACAUUCCAAUGAGCUUCAAUUUAGGUCCAUUGGCGAGCGAUGUGUAGAGGGGAUCCCUAGGUUCGGGGCGGCCGCUGCCUACGACGGGAAGAACAUAGGGUACGUACUCGGGUUGGGGAACCGGGUAGGGAUCGUCCCUUGACCCGGUAUGGACCUGAAUCCUUGAUUUGGGUUUCCUUGGCCCGACCCACUUCUUGGGUCAAUCUCUUGGAACUGGGUUGAUUGAGGGGGCGGCCCACCACCACUAGGCCGAGAAGCUGCAAGGAAUUCCUCUCCAGACAAGUUGUAUGGAAAUUGUGGUCCAAUCCAUGUCUGUCUCGACUCGGUGGCCCAUUGGCCUUGGAAAAAAUACUAUGGAAUUAUGGCCACUGAAUUGGGCCAGAGAUCUGUGCUGGAGUAAGAGCAGAAGUAACGUGAGUGUCUUCAAGAGCAGAAGGCAUGGGUGUUUGGUUUUGGGAUGAAGACUCCUCUACUAGGAUACUCUCAAAGUUCCUGUCUUUCUCCAUGGUAUCAAGAAAGUGAAUUCCUAAUCGUUUGGCUUAUUGUCUUUGCAAGAAAAUCUGCGUCAACAAGUCAAAGAAGAAAAACGAUGGCAAUUCUUAAGAUGCGGAAGCUUGCCCAGAAAGAACAGCUCUGAUACCAUGACAGAAAGCAUAAUGGAGAUUCUGGAAAUGCUUUUCCUCUAUAUUGAUUCUCUACAUUUACAUUUGUAAAUUUAUAGUGUAAGAGACAAAAGAAUAAAACGGGAAAAAAUAAUAAAUGAAUCACUAUUUUCCUUUUUUCCUAUUUACCAAACUAAUUCACAAUUGACUAAAUCACAAUCGAUAGAAUUGAGAUCUUCAAGAUAUAUUUCCAACACGUAAGACCUUCCGCCGGCGUCCGCUGCUGCCCGGACCGCGCUUGCCACUGCCGCUUAACCCCUUGCAACACUAGUCGAGCCGCCGACCAUCGCCGCUCCACCAACAACAUGUGGGCCACCCCCGCACCAGUCACCACACUAGCCAUUGCUGCUUUAUCCCUCGCGAUACUAGCACUCACGAAGUCGCCACUGCUCUCCGUCGCCGCUGCUGUCCCUCUGCAUAACACCACUGCUCGCCACCGCUGCUCUCGUCCGCCUCAUUGCGCCAACCACUGCCGCUCGACCCCUCGUGACACCAGCAUUUGCGAAGUCGCCACUACUCUCGACCGCUGCUAUUGUCCCUAUGCAUGAUGCUUUCGCUUGCUGGUUGUCGCGCCUCCACCUCGCCUAACCUGCCGAUCCGCAACCCUCUUCCUGUCCAUGACUAUGGCUGCCCCCCUCACCACGCCCCUGCUGCCCCUCACCAAAGCUCCGAAUGCUAACGCCUCGUCAGCCAUACCGCAUUUUGUCGCCCCUCCGAAUCCAAAAACAUUAUCCGUGCGAUAUCGAAAAUUAGGCAAGAAUCUUGUUUAAUUUGAUUUUCAUAUAUCUCUAUCGCUUAAUUUGUGAAAUCAUUACCUCAUAUGAAUAUUUGAAUGAUGCUAUCAUAUCCACAAAAGAUCAAUUAGUUUUUUCUAAAAUUAGGGGAAUCUUCCUAAUUUCACAACGUGUAUAUGAUUAAUAGUCCGAUUUCAUGCUUGAAAUAUGACUCGCAAUUGCACGGAAAAAUUGCCAAUCCGAUUUCACACUCAAGAUACGAUUUGCGAUUUUUGUUAAAAAUGGCCAAUCCGAUCUCAUGCGCGAGAUACAAUUCGUCAAUUUAUUAGGUUUAAAUAUCAAUCAUAUCUUGCAUGAUUUGUUGUCGUAUUGCUUGAAUUGAUUUUGUUUCCGCAAAAGAAAACCCAAAAAAAAAUAUUUGAGUUAGAUUAGGUUCAUGUUAGAAUAUUACUUGUUUUAGAGUUAUUUUGCAUGUUUAGAAUAUGAAAUUUAUUUAUUUCGAAUUUUUAAAAUAAAAAUUCCAUAAAUAAAAAAAACAUUAAUUUAGGAUGUUAGUUUUUCCUUUCAUUAAUUUAAAUUGCAUGUUUAAUUGUUGAGUAAUUUUAAUUUCGAAAUUUAAUUAAAAAUAAAAGAAAACAUAAAAAUCAUCAUGCACAUGUCAUGUAGAAUUAGGUCAUCAAUUGCACAUCAUCUAGAUGUGUAAAUGCUAGAAUAGUUGCAUUAGUUUUUUCCUAUCACUAGAUUAGGUCAUUUAAUAAAGGGAUAAGUGUUCCAGAAAUCCUACAACUUGUCACGAAAAUGCAUUUCAGUCCUAAAACUUGCAAAAAGUGCAUUUAAAUCCUAAAACUUGUCAAAUUGUUUCAAACGAGUCCUAAGAUCGAUGCCAUUAGCCUUUUUCCGUUAAAAAUGCUGACGUGGCAUUUUAAAUAAUUUUUUAUUUUCCAGGUGUAUUUUUUAAUUAAUUUUUAUCCAUUUUUAAAAAGAAAUUAGAUUUUAAAACUAAAAAAAUUAAAUUUAUUCUUAUCUUAUUUUCAACAAAAACUAAAAAGAAAAGUUAAAAUAUAUAUUUUUAAAAUUGUAAAAAAAAAANNNNNNNNNNNNNNNNNNNNNNNNNNNNNNNNNNNNNNNNNNNNNNNNNNNNNNNNNNNNNNNNNNNNNNNNNNNNNNNNNNNNNNNNNNNNNNNNNNNNUCGCUCGAGGCUGGCGGGCCCAGAUCUGGGCACCCGCACCAGAGCUGAGCGAGGGUGCCCUGAUUUAAGCCCGUCAGCCCUCGCGGGGGGUCGGCGACCGUCGCCCCCCUGGGCGAGUCGUCGCCGGCCCUCACGAGGGGUCCGGCCCCGAGCGAGGGCCGACGAGGCCUCGCCCAGGGCGGGCGACGGUCGCCGGCCCUCGGCCGGGGCCGGCGAGGCCCGACCACCCCCGCCCAGGGCCGGCCACCUUCACCUGGCCCCUCCGGGGAUGGGUGGCGGCGGCAACAGUGGCGGGGGGAGGAGCCGCUCUUUUUUUUUUUUAAUAAAUAUUUUAACUUUUUUUAAAAAUAUUAUUGGUAAAAAUAAGAUAAAAUGAAUAAAUUUGAUUUUUUUAGUUUUUAAAUCUAAUUUUUUAAAAAAUAAUUAAAAAAAAUUCACGUGGAAAAUAAAAAAUUAUUUAAAAUGCCACAUCAGCAUAUUUAACGAAAAAGGCUAACGGCGUCGAUCUUAGGACUCGUUUGAAACAAUUUGACAAGUUUUAGGACUUAAAUGCACUUUUUGCAAGUUUUAGGACUGAAAUGCAUUUUCGUGACAAAUUGUAGGACUUCUGGAACAUUUAUCCCUUUAAUAAAUGUUGUGUGACAUAUAGUUCGCAUGUUAGGUUGCAUGUUGCAUGUCAUUUUAGUUAUAAAAAAAUUUGUAUGUCAUUGCAUUGCAUUGUACAUAAUUUUUAGGCUUCAUUUAAACAAAAGAAAAUCUUGAAAAAUAUUGAAUAAUUGCGUGUCUAUUAGAAAUCACAUCUAGGACUAUUGAUGUGAAUUCUAAUAUAACAUUGCAUAUGCUUUUGUUGCUAUGAGGUAAGUCCCAUAAUUUAUUUAUUACUUUAUUUGGGUGUUAAAUUGAUGGUUUGCAUACCUGCAUGAUCACCUCACAUAUUAGGGAAGUAAAUUAAAAUCAAUUUAAGCUGCCUGCAAAACAUUUUCUCGAAAUAAAAGAGAAAUGUACCGAAAGGACGUUAGAAAAAUCUAACGUAAUCAAAUCCCUGAACUCACAAUCUCUGGUUCGCAUGAGUAAAGUAAAUCUCUCGUUACUUUACUUGGGUUUCUAAUCGACCCACCAAAAAUAGAUUAGUGGUGACUCCUAAUUAAAAAAUCAUUUGCAUGAUAACAACUUGAACCUAAGUCGUGAAUUGGUAUGGGCUUAGGAGAGCCCGAGCUAAGUCUAGACUUAGUAAUCCAUUAACCAAACCCUAAGUGGUUCACCCAAGAUUAAGUCCCGACAACAAUCACCGUAGAUAAUACUAGUUUAAAUGAUGUUGACAUUAGUUUUUUGAAAGAAAAAUUAUCAAGAAAUAGGCUAUUGAUCUUAGAUGGAUAUGUUUUAAAUACGAGGUGCACGGCUCAUAUAUUGAACUUGAUUGCGAAGGAUGGAUUAAUCGAGAUACAUGAUCUUAUUGUACGUAUUGGAAACGUGGUUAGGUAUGUGAGGAGUCCUCCUAUGAGAUUCAAACAUUCAAAGAUUGCAUUAGGAGUGCAAUGAUUACUCAUAAGGGUUCAGUGUGUCUUGAUAUCAUAACUAGGUGGAACUCCACAUAUCUCAUGUUAGACAUUGUCUUAAAGUUUAGAAAGGCCUUUGAAAGGAUGGAGGAAUAUGAUCCUUCUUUUUUAACAGAGCUUGAAUAUAAAACUCCUAAACAUGAAGAUUGGGAAAAUGUCAAAAUUCUUUUGAUAUUUUACCACCAACAAGAUAUCUGGAACUCUGUAUAUCACUUCCAAUGAUAAUUUUAAUAGAUAUCCACUUUAUAUAAAAACUUUGAAACAAACAGAGAAGAUAUUAAAUCCUAGGGUGGAAGCUAUGGGUGCAAAGAUAAAAGAUAAGUUUGACAGUUAUUAUGAAAGUUUUGAAAAAGUAAACAUGAUGGUGUUAAUUGCAGUGAUAUUGGAUCCAAGGAAAAAGAUGAAUUAUGUGCGGUAUUGUUAUAAAUAAUCUAUGAUGAUAUGCAAAAGUUGAUGAAAUGUCCGAUAAGGAGAGGAUUGCACUCGAACUUUUGUUUUAUUUUAAUGAGAAAUAUUAUCUUAUUUCCUAUGAAAGGAAUUUGGGUGAUCAAUUUUUAAGUAAUAUUGGUAGUAGUUGGGAUUUUGAUAGUCAUGAGACAAAGAAUGAUAAGGACGACCUUGCUUUGAUUGAGGAUUUCACUUGAGAUAAGACAUUUGAAUUAUUUCUACAUGAGGAGAAAAAAGUGUGCAUGGGCAACUUAUUUGAACUCGACAAGUAUCUUAAAGCCAAUCAUGAAAAAAAUCGUGAUCUUGACCUUUUGGUGGAAAAUUGCUGAUCAAAAGUUUAAAGUCAUCUCUUUGUUGGCUUGGCAUGUUUUGUCCAUUCCCGUAACAAUUGUUGCAUCAGAGUCGACUUUUAGUAUAUCUAGUUGUGUGCUUAAUGGCUUUUGAAGUAUUUUGACUCUUAAAGUAGUGGAAACUUUGAUCUACACUCAAGAUUGGUUGAGAUUGACUACUGUGCCAAUUAAUGUUGAAGAGUGCAUCAAGAAUGCAGAAAAGUUUGAGCAGGGCAAGUCAUGGAUAUAUCUUUUUAUCUUAUAAUUCUUUCGUAUAUGUAACAAGUAAUACUUUAUUUCAUAUUUUGUUUUUGUUAGAUAUGGAUGAUGCUGACUAGGAGCUUAUAGGUAAAUAGAGUUCACAAGUUAAAGUGGAGGAAAUAUAUGUGUUAAGAUUUUCCAUUAAGAACUCGAAUCCCAUUUUGUGGUAAAGUUUGCGCACUAAAUUACUUUUUGUUUUAUUUGAUUAAGUUCGAUUAGCUAGCGAAGUCUCUACUUUCUUUAGACUAUUUUCAUUAUUUCUGUUUAAUUUGAUUAGGUUUGAUUAGCCAACGCGAGCACUCCUCCUUCCUAAAGUUUACACACCUAGCUCUAUGGAAUCAUCCAGAAUUGAAGAGCAUAGGUGAUCGGACCAUAAGUUGCGAUUUUAUCUAGAGGAUAUCUAUCGAAAAUACCAAAAUUGAAUAGGGUUCCUCUGCUUGAGAAUGGCUUCCCUUCUUCUGCUUUUUUGUGAUUAUCCACUCUGAACAUUGGCAUUCAUCUUGUUACCAAAAAAAAACAUUGGCAUUCAUCAAAUGCAAUUUGUAAUUUUUAGAUAAAGAGAACUGCAUGUUACUUAAUGCUUCUUCAUACCAUCUACCUCAUUUUCUGUAUAAUGUGCUUUUGUUGGAAUCCGUGGUUUGUAGUGGAAGAAUGGUGACUACCAUAAAUUGGGAUUCAAUACAUGAAAUUUGUCCUCUUGUUUAUUGAUCACCUGGUGUUAAUUGAGUUUGGCUUAUCCAUCAUUUUGAUUUACUCUUGAAAAUUGUGUUAUACGAUGUGUUUAUCCUUGCCAUUACUAUUCCUAUCUCAGCUUGAUUUAUAAUUCCACGUGCGUUUUUGAAUUUCAUAUAUAUUUGGGUUAUCAUUGGUACAAAUACACUUUUUCUAUAUGCCUAAAAGUGAAAAAGAAUUAGUAACUGCCUUAGCCAUGAUGUGCUGGGGGCCUCACGGUUACAGUCUAGUCUUCACCAAUCGUCCUAUGUAGCACAUUGCCAUAUCAACGAUUUUUAGUCAAAAAUUGAGAGAAAUAGAAGGAUUAUAUUGGAAUUUAUUGCAAAGAUUUAGAACUCAAUCGGUGAACUUGAAAAUUUUAUGAUUAAAUUUGCAUAUGUACAAUAGUGUUAUGACUGAUUGGACAAUUUUUCCACUAUUCAACAAUAGCAUGUCUUUUCAAGGAGAUAAAUACCCAAUUGAAAUCUUGAGCAGUUAACUUGUUCAAGGUUUUUCUUUUCCUUUUAUAGUACUAGGUACAUUUGAAUUAUCGCCAAGCAUUUGUUAUAAAUUGAUCCUAAUAAACAUCUAAUAAUAAUUUUUCACUUCAUCUAUGCGCAUUUCAUGAAUCAAUCUUAACAUACUUGCCAUUUCUCUUUGUUUUAUGCUUUUUUGCUGUAUAAAAGGUUGAAAGGAUGAAAUUUUAGAGAAACUCUUUCCUUUAUUCAGGACAUUUUCCGCAUUUGUAAGUUUUUUUUUUUUCACGGUGAACAUAACCUUUGUCAUGAAUAAUUAAGCUUACCAUAACCUCCGAUCCACUCUUGAAAAGAACCAUGGAGACAUAAACAAGAAUUGAACUCAAAAUGAUCAAGACCAAUUCAUGAGAAAAGUACCCAAAAAAAAAAAAAUUUAUUAACCUAUUGCAUUGAUAAUUAUUCAAUCAUUAACCUUUUAAUUGGAUCAAAUUAGUCAGUCUUUUUGACAUUGGUACCAAUUUAGUUCAUCCGACCAAUUUAAGCUAAAUGUCGCUCACAUGGGUUCCAUUUAUCAUAAAUUGCAUGGUUAGUACCGAUGUGAACAUUUUUAAUAAUAAUUUAAAUUUUUUAUUUUUAGUAUUUAACAUUUCUUUCUUUCUUUUCCUUGCGCUUUCCUUUCCUUUCCUUUUUUUUGGGUCGAUGGCCAGUUGCUAACCAUGGGCCAUAGGCCAUGGCCAGUGAAGGUUGGCGUCGCCAACUUCUGUUUAACGGAAAAAUUAACCAAUUAAUCUUAAACUUAUUGAAUAGAUGCAAAUUUUCUAAGUUUUUAUUUUUUUCCAAAUUAAUCAUAAAAUUUAGCGUGAAAUUUUAAUACAAUCAUUCCAGUGAAUUUUGGUUGGAAAUCGUUAAUCUUGCGUUCAAUUAUUGCAAACUGUCAUAUUUGGUACAUCACUAAGUCAGCGAUUUUCAAUGGAAAUUAAAGAGGAUAGAAGGAUUAUAUUGGAAGUUCAUACAAAAAUUUAGAACUCAAUUAAUAAAUUAAAAAGUUUACAACUUGAUUGACCUUUUGUACAUAAGGAUUCGAUUGACCUUUUGUACAUAAGGAUUCGAUUGAACGGUUGUCGUUAUGUCACCAUGGAUAGGGUGGGUCGUUAUUGAUGACCACUGGUGGCUGAAUCUUACAAGGCUUCUGAGGGAAAGUGUCUCGUCGUGGACUCGGUCCAAAUUAAUAUCUCUUGUUGGGCUGGGCUUGAGGGUCGAAAAUAUAGAUCGGCGUGGCGUGUGACUGUGUGUUGACGGCAAAAUCAAUUCAACUUUCUAAUUAGACGAACCAAAGCCAACUUCGAGAUAGUGAAUUGGCAGAAACAUUGGCACCAUUCGCUGCACCCUUUUCGGCCAUAACAUAUUUAAACAAUAAUAAGAACGAUGCAUUUGUUGAUCUUUCACCUAGUGAACAAAGAUUUACAAUAAUUAGGAUGACAGUUUUUUAUUUCAUAUAUAAUUUUAGAAAAGUAGAUAAUAUACGCAAGGAGAACAUUAAAUUUUUCGAGCAAUUUUAUCUAUUCUUAUUUUGAGUAUCAUAAGGGGCCACUUUGUCAAAUCAACGAUAUAUAAAAUUAUUUAUAUAAAAUAUUACGAGAUAAGUACACUAAAAAUUUUAAAACUUAUCACCAAUAUGCAAUCAAAUCUUAGAAUUUUUAAAAUGUGCAAUAAAUGAAAGAACUCCAUUCGAUUACUUUAACAAAUUUUAGGAUUUUAUUGUACUUGAAAAAAAUUAAAAUUUGAUUACACUUUUUGAAAAUUUCAAAAAUUAAUUAUAUUUUCAUGAUAAAUUUUAGAACUUAAUUGUACUAUUUGAAAAUUUUAAAAAUUAAUUACACCAAAUUUUAAGAUUUCCUUUAUCCCAAAUAUUAUUUACACCGUAUAAUUACUCUUCUUCUCACAUCAUUCCUUUUCUAAACGAGGCCACCAACUUGAACAUCGCCACCCGAGACGAUCCUCCCUCACUCAACACUUGCCUGGCCUCAUUCCUCAUCUUCGCCACUCGCUCCCUCACUUCUCUCCCUUUCUCCGAGCACAUCUGUAAGAGUUUUGCUAAUGUGAACUAAAUUAAUUAAUAUUAUAAUUUAUUAUUUUUACGAUUACUAUAAAAUAGGGUUGAUCUAAGGUGAGAUAGAAGAUUUCUUAAUUAGUCUAAUAUAAAAUUAGUUAGUGUGAGCCAAGUUGAGCCUGAUCCGCAAUAAGAGGGUCUGGCUGGAAUCUCUAUAAAUAGUGCUCAAAUCUCUCCUCUAAUCAUAAUUCUCAUAUUUUCUCACAUUAUCCUCACCUAAGGCAUUUACCUAACGCUAAUCGAGGGGGCUGCCUCAUUGAGCCAGUGAUACGGAAGGCCGUGAAACAUUGUGUUUCCACUUUCGCUUCAAGAACGAUGAAUCUUAAAAUAGGUACGUUAAUCUUUCUAUUCAAUUAUGCAUGUUCUUGUUAUAAUUACGGAGAUUUUGGGAUUGCGCAAUUUGCAUCCAAUAACAUCAACUCGGUGAAUUGCCCCGCCAAUUCGUCCCUCGUCACAGAUCCUCCUUCCGACAUCGGCAGUACCAGCUUCAAAUACCAGGCCAGGUACGGCCUGUUCAGCUUCUGCUCCGCGUAGAGCGGCCAAACUAUCAUGGGCACCCCUGCGAUCAGCGCCUCCAUCACCGAGUUCCACCCGCAAUGGCUCAAGAACCCGCCCACCGAGUCGUGGCUCAGCACCGCCACCUGCGGGGCCCACGACUUCAGCACCAGCCCCGUCCUUGGUUCUCUCCGCGAACCCACUCGGAAGGAUCUCAUCUAUUCCUGAAGAGAAAGGAAAGUGGCGGGUGUAAUGAGAAAUCUUAACUCAACUCGCGUUGAGAGCUCAUGAAGAUCAUUUUUCUGACCGUGAUUCGGAGUCCUGCAAGUUAUUCCUAUGCCGCUCGACGUAGACAACAUAGAAACAUAUCUGGAUCAUCUUUUGGUUUGAUAGCUAAGUUGCGCCAGAUUUCAUCGUGCGGUGGUGGGUUACGGACCACCCACAAGAACCUGACCCCACUCUUCUCGAGAGCGUGAGCGAUCUCUCUCAGCUGCUUCGACGAGAACACCCCCAUGCUCCCGAAGCUCAUAAACAAGACGCUUCUGCUCGGCUGCGAGUCGAGCCAGCUCAGGCAAUCGUGCUUGCUGAUGUGAUCGUCAGCAGCCACGAGUGGCCCAAUGCAGUUCACCGGCGGAGUUCGGCCGCCUGGCACGCACAGUCCCUCGGAUAUCGCUUUGAGGGCCCUCGGCUCGAGCGCCUCAAACGUGUUGCUUAUGAGGCCGGCGGAUUAUGCCAGCCGCGUCAACGUUUCCAAGAAAUGGCCAUAGAUUCUGCUGCUCCGGUCCAGCAUCCUCGACGGCAUGUGCUUCGCCGGAAUCGGCGGUACGCCCGGGAUGUCGACAUUGCCGUCCAUGUCUUUGAAGCUGGAAGUAGUGAGCUUGUGUAGGGUGGGGAGGUAGAGAAACGCCGUGAGAGGGUUCGCGCCGGCGGGGAGGAAAUAGUACGUGGGGAGGCGGAGCGCGGUGGCAACCUCGGCGGCGGCUCUGUAGAAGAAGUCGACAACGAGGGCUUUGGGCUUCUGUGACGGCUGGGAGGCGGAGAGCAGCUCAGACAAGGCAUGGUAGAGGUUGGGGUUGUUGAGGCGGGGCGCACUCAAAAUACAUGGCCGGGUCGUCAGAGAAGGCGGUGGGGGCGGAGGAGAGAGAGGGGGGGAGGGAGACGGAGGGGAGGUGGCGGAAGGCGAUGGAAGGGGUGGCGGAGGAGACGGAGGAGAUGUAAGGGGUGAUGGAAGGGAGGAGGUGGGGGGGGGAGGAGAUGAGGACGGUGACGGAGAGGGAGGGGUGGUGGCGGAGGAGGGACUGGCCGAGCUCCACCAGUGACAUGAGGUGACCUCUUCCCGGCGACGGGUACAUCACGACGUGACAUAUGCCUGCCUUCUCCAUCAUGAAAGAGGUGGCUUCUGAGUAAUUGGAUCUCUUCCGGCGGUGGCUUUAUGGCCUCGUUCGUGACGCAAGCAGUGGAGUGACAAGAGCGAGACUGGCUGAUGGAAGAGUCGGAUGUUUUAUUGUUCAAUUCUGAUGUUAGUUGAAAUACGGUUCUCCAAUGUCUCUUUCUUCUGAUUACAGUGUUGCUGACUGCACGUUUCGUGCAAUUAUAAUCAUCAUGGCGUCUUAUCAGCCUUGGGGACUGUGAUGCUCUCUACUCCUGCCAAGUAUUCUUGCCCAUUUGUGUAUCAUUGGCCCUUUUGCUACAAGGGCAGGUGGAUAGCCAACCACUCCUUUUCUAUAUCUUUGGAAAAAAGUGUGGAUAUUUAGGGCUGUAUGGCAAUUCAAAAUUUAUAUUCUAGAAAUAGUUUUUCUGUUCCAGAUCUGUUUUUGGAAGAGAAAUCCGUUUGAUAAACUUAUUCAGUUUUUCUAUUUCUGAAAGAUUUCUAUUCCAGAAAUAAGUUUGGAAGAGAAAUCAGAAAUAAUUUCUUCCACUAAACCCUAAUUUUGGUGAGUCCUCCCUCAUCUCCUCUACAUCUUUGCCUCCACCUCUUCCUCCGCCUCUCCUCAUUUUAUUAAAAAUAAAAAUAAAUUUAUUAAAAUAAAUAAAUAAAUUUUUAUUUAUCAUUUUAUUUUUAGUUUAUUAAAAAUAAAUUUAUUAAAUUUAUUAAAAAUAAUUUAUUUAUGAUAAAUAAAAAUAAAUUACUUUUAUUAAAAAUAAAUUUAUUAUUAUUUGCCUUGAGUGUUUUGCCAAAUCAAAUUUUUUUUAUUCAUUUUAAAAUAAAUUUAUUCAUAAAAUAAAAUAAAAUAGAAUAAAUAAAAUAAAGUUUAUUUUUAUAUUUUUAUUUUAAAAUAAAAUGAUAUUUUUAUUUUAUUUUUUUAUGAUUUAUUUUAUUUUAUUUUAUUUUAUUUUAUUCAUUUUUUUUUGUUACUAAAUCAUUUUUAUUUUUAUUUUUUAUAUUAAAGGUCAUCGGUCGUCGCCACCGCCGUCCGAAAGGAAUAAAUUUUGUGUCGUUAUCAAAUGAAUUUCUAUUUUUAGAGUAGAAAUUGUGUCGUUAUCAAACGGUUAUUUUUGCUUAGAAACUCUUCUAGAAAUAUAAAUAAAAAAAUUUAUUUUUGUUCCAGAAAUAAUUUCUGGAACAGAAUGGUUGUCAUGCGCGCCUUUACUCACGGCCAUUAAAUAGAUUGUUACAAUUUCUUUUGUAAUAGUUUCUUACGUUAGGUAAAAGAUUCUCGUGAAUUAAUAAAAAUAGGGGAAGACAUCAUCAACUUCCGUUUAAAAAAAAAAUUAAAUAAGUAGAGAUAUCAAUUUAGUUCUAAAUUUUGUAAUUUUUCCAAUUUAAUGACGUUACGGUCUACUUGUCAUCAAUUAUCCUAUGUGACACGUCACCAUAUCAAUGAUUUUAGGCAGAAAUUGAGAGAAACGUAAAGAUUAUAUUGAAAUUUCUCGCAAAGAUUACAAAUUCAAUUAGCAAAUUUGAAAAAUUGAUGAUUGUAUUGAUCUUUGUACAACAAUGUUAUGACUGAUUGGACAAUUUUUUCAUUGUUCACCAAUAGCAUGUCUUUUCAUGGAGAUAAAUACCCAACUAAAAUCUUGUGUAGUUAACUUGUUUAAUGUUUUUCUUUUCCUUAUAUAGUACUGGGUACAUUCGAAUUAUUGUCAAGGAUUUGUUAUAAAUUGAUCCUAAUCAACAUCUAAUAAUAAUUUUUUUUCACUUCAUCUAUGCGCAUUUCAUGAAUCAAUCUCAACAUAUUUGGCAUUUCUCUUUGUUUUAUUUGUUGUAUAAAAGGUUGAAAGGAUGAAAUUUUAGAGAAAUUCUCCUCUUUAUUCAUGACAUUGUCCACAUUUGUAGUUUUUUGUCUUCACAGUGAACAUGACACAUGUCAUGAAUAAAUAAGCUUACCAUAACCUCUUAUUGACCAUAGGGACAUCAACGAGAAUUGAAAUCAAAAUGAUCAAGACCAAUUCUCGAGAAAAAUACAAAAAAAAAAGUUUCCAAUCUAUUACAUUGAUAACAAUUUAGUCAUAAACCUCUCAAUUUGAUCAAAAUAGUCAUAGGUUUUUUUAUAUUGAUAUCAAUUUAAUCAAUCUGGCCAAUUUAAGCCAACGUCACUUACAUGGAUGUCGAUCAUUAUAAAUGGCACGAUUAGUACUAGCAUAAAUAUUUUUAAUAAUAAAUUAAUUUUAAAUUUUUUGAUUUUUUAAUAUUUCUUUCUUUCUUUUUUUCUUUUUUUGGGGGUCAAUGGCCAAUCCCCAACCAUAGGCCAUAAGCCAUGGUUAAUGAGGGUUGGCCUUUUCAACUUCUAUUUAAUAGAAAAAUUAAUCAAUUAAUUUUAAACUUAUUGGACAAAAGGAAGGGAGAGCAGGUGUAAGAGGCAAAAAAAGUCUAAAAGUUCUACUUCGAAAUGACAAGUCCCCGUACAUGUCUCAUCACAUCACGAAAAAGAAGAAAAUAUGGUCUACUUGACACUUCUUUCACCACAGCGAGACCAACACCUUCACUUUUCCCUGGGACUGAUAUCUAAAGAAUGUACAAAAGAAAGCGGGAAAAAGGACGGCCCUUCCUGGAUCAACGCAUUUUUCUGUCUCAUGGAAUGACCAACCAACUAACGUUCAAAGCUAUUGGAGAAAAGGAAGAAGAUGAACCUCCCGGCCUCACAAAGAGAGAGCUUGAGAAUCCACACUACAUUUUCUUGUCUCGUGGAAAGACAGAUCAACUAACAUUUGAAGUUGCCAAAGAAAAGGAAGAAGAUGAAGCUCCCAGCGUCCCAAGAGAGAGCUUGAGAAUCCAAACUAUUCAUCAUGAUAAAGAUCGUGAAGGAUAGCUUUCACAUCACGUCACAAGAAUGAGUUGCGAUCGUGGAAUUGAUUAUCAAUAUUGUUGCGAAAAGGCGAGCGAUUGAACAAUAAUAUAAAUAGAAGAUGAAAAUAAAUCGAACACCAGAUUUACAUAAUUCGGUCAUAAAGACAUAUGUCCACGGGAAAAGCAACGACGAAUUUCACCAUAGAUCAAACGAUAUAAGGAGAUUACACACUUAAGUCACUUAAACACUCUCUCGGUGUUUCCCAAGCCCCAAUUACACCCAAUAAUGCACGCAGUAUUUAACCCCGAAAUUUCUCAAGAAAUAAUCUCUCAAUCUCAUGAAAGAAUUACACGUAAAUUUUACCACAAGAUUUAAAUCGACUACAAACACUAAUUUUUCUUAGAUGUAAUUCAUGGACAAAAACGAUAAAGAAAAUCCCUCUCAAGCACUCGACGACGAGACGGCGCUUCAAAACCAAUUCUUCAUGAUCAACCUCCUACCACCCACGGCCAUAAGUCUAUAUAUAUAUAUAUAUGAGACCCAUAUUCUAUUGCCGACUUCUCAUAUCUUAAACGAUUUUAUCCAAAACAUAUCUCUAUAUAUUUUAAACAAAAUCCAAAUUCAAGUAAAAGUUGGACAUUCCUAUUUUAGUAGCCAAAUUCUCCAACGUAGAUUCGAAUUUUGGGAAGUUGAUAUUCGGAUUUUCUUUGCUCAAUUUCGAACGUCUGCAACAUAUUCAAUUUGGAAUAUUCGAAAUUUCACAUUGAACUCAAACUCGAGAUAUAUUUUAACAAUCUCCUCCUUGACUCAAUGUUUGAGCUAAGUUGCAAUGACUUCGUUGAAAUUCAAACUCUGCUACUACUCUCCCAUAACUCCCAAUGGGCUCAACCGCUACAGACAUUAUCCAAGUCUAAGCUUCGCUUGAACUUCGCCAUAAUUGAGGACCUCAUCUGAAUACCAACUCCACAUGCAAUUUUAAUUGCUUAGCAAGGAUUUUCCGAUGCAACCUCCUUAACCAUAGAAAAAGCAAAAUCAUUGUUGCAUCCAUAUCUAUCAUGAGAUCGAAUAUGUACUUUGUUAAUUUCAGCAGUUACAGCAACCAUUAGCUCUAUAGGCUCCACCUUACUACAAACACCAUAUGUGUCGAUUACUUUGCUAGUACUUGUACUCGCUACCUCAGGAGUUUCUGGUCAUAACUCCACCUCAAGCUCAACACUGUUCAGAUCCGUUUGAACACUGCUAUAAUCACUCAUAGCUAGAAGUAUUGAAGACUCGUCAAAAGUAACUUCUCUGCUAAUAAUAGGUGAAUUUAACUCCAGGCACCACAAUCAAUAACCCCUCUCAUCUCGUACAUAGCCUAUGAAUAUGCAUUUUCUUACUCUUCUAUCGAACUUACCAUCACUCGCUCGAAUAUAACAUAGGUAACCAAAUAUUCUAAAAACAGAAUAAUCAGUAACGUUGCCUAACCACACUUUCUUACUCUUCUAUCGAACUUACCAUCACUCGCUCGAAUAUAACAUGGAUAACCAAAUAUUCUAAAAACAGAAUAAUCAGUAACGUUACCUAACCACACUUCUUCAGAAGUCCCAUAUCCAAUCGUAGUUGAUGGGGAUUUAUUCAUCAGGUAGCACGAUGUACUUAGUGCAUCCGUCAUACCAGCACUAGAGAGCAUUUUAUGAGCCAUCUCUAACAAUGUUUUGCUCAUUAAUUCCGCAACAUAUUAUGAUUUAUUAGCAUAAGUGCGGUGUUUCACUACACCUUCCUUUAUGCAGAAUUCAUUUAACAGCUUCGAGCAAAAUUCCAUACUAUUGUUAGUCUGCACCUACUUGAUCAUCUUACCAGUCUUAUUUUCGAUUAAAGCUAUCAACUGCUUGAUUUUGACAACAGCAUUAAACUUGUGCCUAAGCACAAAUACCCACGUCUUCAUCGAGUCGUCAUCAACAAUUGUUAGCAUAUAUCUAGCACUCUUCCUCGAUGGAAACUGCGACAACUUGCAAACAUUCAAGUGAAUUAACUUUACAAUUUCCGUAAUUUCUUUGACAGUUAUACUGAACUGUACUUUCCGCCGUUGAUCUAAAUCAUAGCACCGGCAUACAUUCAGUUUGUUAGAAACAUAACCACAUAACAGAUUUCUUUCACUUAAAACCUCCAGGCUUCUCUCGCCAAUGUGCCUCAAAUGCAUAUGCCACAAUUCAGACUUUCAAAUAGAUGCAUCCGACGUCUUCGCAACGAAAUUUGUUACUGUCUCACCUUGAAACUCAUACAAGUUAUUGUCCUUGAUUCAUUUCAUUAUUAUCAAAACACAUUGAACAAUUUUCAAAAUACUACAUUCUGAAAUAUAUCGAUACCCAGCUAAAUCCAAGGCACUCAAGGAAAGUAAAUUCUUCUUCAACUUUGGAACAUACCUUACUCCAGUCAAUGUCCUCACAAUACCAUCAUGCAUUCUGAUUUUAAUAUUGCUAACACCGAUGACAUUGCAUUCAGCAUUGUCCCCAACUGCAUUUUACUAUUAUUUAUACAUUGAUAAGUAGUAAACCAGUUUCCAUUUGGUGUAACAUGAAAAGAACAACCAUAAUCCAUAAUCCAUCAAUCAAACGAUGAAUCAUCAAUGACAAAUAAGACAGCAUUAUUUGCUACAGCUGCAACAUUAUCUGCAGAAUCAACUAUAAUUCCCUCACCCUUCUCAUUCUUCAACCUAAAACAAUUCCUUCUAAGAUGCCCCAUCUUGCCACAGCUCCAACAAACAACAUCAGCAAUCCUAGAUUGACUACGCCUGUUCAUAUUAGUACUACUCUUACCCACACGCGUUCUAGAUCAUCCUAUAUUUUCACUACUAAAACAGUAGAUACGGGUUUGCCAGAUUCUCUUCUAUGAAUGUCCUCGCUUAGAAUCAAAUCUCGAACUCCAUUAAACGUCAAACUUAUUGAUCCAGAAAAAUUACUAACAACAGUAACAAUAAUAUUCCAACUAUCAGGCAACGAGGAUAACAUAAUCAAAGCACGUACCUCAUCUUCAAAGUCAAUCUCAACUGAACUCAAUUGACUAACAAUCACAUUGAAUUCAUUGAUAUGAUUUGUAACUGACGCACCUUCACUCAUCUUCAAAUUAAACAAACGUCGCAUCAAAUAAACCUUGUUGAUCGCAGAAGGCUUCUCGAGCAUAUCUGAUAGGGCUUGCAUUAAAUCAGUAGUGGUCUUCUCCUUCAAGAUGUUAAAUGCGACGUUACAAGUCAACGUCAGCCGAAUAACACCCAUAGCUCAUCUAUCCAACAAAUCCCAAUUAGCUUGCUUUAUCGACUUUGGUUUCUCCCCAGAUAAGGGCAAGUUAGUUUCAUAUGAUAAAGAUAAUCUUCAAUCUGCAUCUUCCAGAAACUAAAAUCCUUCCCAUCAAAUCUGUCAAUUCUCACUUUUACUUCUUCUAUCGCCAUCGAUUAGCUUCAACUUAACCAAACCUGGCUCUGAUAAUACCAAUUGUUGUGAAAAGGCGAGAGAUCAGACAAUAAUAUAGACAAAAGAAGAAAAUAAAUCGAACACCGGAUUUACAUGGUUCGGUCGUAAAGACCUACGUCCAUGGAGAGAGUGGCAACGAAUUUCACUAUAGAUCAAGCGAUAUAAAAAAAUUACACACUCAAGUCACUCAAAUACUCUCUCGGUGUUUCCUAAGCUCCAAUUACACCCAAUAACGCACGCAAUGUUUAGCUCCGAAAUUUCUCAAGAAAUAAUCUCUCAAUAUUAUGAAAGAAAUACACGCAAAUCUUACCACAAGACUUAAAUCGGCUGCAAACACUAAUCUUUCUUGGAUGUAAUUCACGGACAAGAACGACAAAGAAAAUCCCUCCUAAGCACUCGACGAUCAGAUGGCGCUUCAAGACCAAUUCUUCAUGAUCAACCUCCUACCACCCACGGACACAAGUAUAUAUAUAUACUUCUCAUAGGAUUUUGUUUUCUAUCGUAAAUGAUUUUAUCCAAAACAUAUCUUUGUGUGUUUUAAACAAAAUUCAAAUCCAAGUGAAAGUUGGACUUUCUUAUUUUAGCGGCCAAAUUGUCUAACGCAAAUUCGAAUUUUGGGAAGUUGAUCUCCGGAUCUUCUUUGCUCAAUUUCGAACGUCCGCAACAUAUCCAAUUCGGAAUAUUCAAAAUUUAACAUUAGACUCAAACUCGAGACAUAUUUUAACAUACGUAAACUUUGCUCAAAAGUCAAAAUGGUGUUUACUAAAUUGUCCGUUUUAGAUCAUUUUAAGGUACAUCUACUAGUCUAUAACAUGGUGACCUCGUCGACAAGAAGAAAAGAUGGUCUACUUGACACUUUUUUCAUCCUUGCGAGACCCACAACACCCUGGCCUUCUCCUAGGGCUAGUAUCUAAGGAACGUAUGAAAGAGGGUGGGAAAAAGGACAGCCCUUCCCUGGACAACACAUUUUUUUUCUUUUUCUUUAUCGAUGGAAGUAUUGGAAAUUGUGAUCCAUUUUCAGUAAAAUCUGAAAGCUACUUGCUUAAUCAUGAAGAAAGAAGAGUCGAGAACAUGAACAACAACUAGUUAAUAUCUAGAGAAGCCUAGAGAACGUGCAGCAAAUCUCUAACUUGGAGGUUGCACGUGUGAUGCAAGAAAAGCUAGCUUAAUCAAGAAGUAAAGUGCUCUUGUCUAGAAUUGUCGAGAAUGGUGGUUGAUGGCUGAAAUUUGAAGACUUCCGUGGGAAUGCAAGCAAGCAAUAGCAAAAGAAACAGUAAGCAAAAGUCCAAGCCGGCGGUCAAAGUCAAGAGUAGUCUAGGUCCUUCAUUGUUGACAAAUAGCUAGCUGUAACGUGUACAAGUCCAGCUAUUGUUUGAGUCUGUUGUCAGCCUAUAUAAAGAAGUAAGUGCUCCAUGUUUUGCGUGGGGAGAUGAGCUUAAAACUCCGUAUCAAGAUCGCGUCCAUUGUCACCUCCAUCAAAAUUAGUUUUGUCCAUCUAAUGAAACUAUCUUCCCUUUAUCUUCGAACUAUCCUACCUCAUUCCUUAUCCAUCAUCUACAAGCUAUAUCAUACACAUAUACACUUACACACAUUAAACCAGAAACUAUCAUCCAUAUCAAAACCAUACUUCCACGCACAUUCAAAUUUUUAACCGGAUGCUGUGAGGGCUUUUAACUGGUAGAAGCAUAAAAACUACGAAAGCAUAACUAAUGAUAAGCCGCAAACUUCCGGAGUCCAGAAUGCCUGGCACCAUGAUGAUUUUGAAAGUAACAGAACGAAAGUGCAUCUCAUGUACAAUUGAUCCGAAACAAUUUCUUCAUUAUGAAGCAUAAGGCGUAUGACCUGUAUUUCGGUUUGACAUUCAACUGUGCCUGAUUGGGAACCUCAUUCACAAUCUGACCACUUUCCUGAUCACCUUCCAUGGGUACCAUUUGGGUUGAGGUCUUUUCAAAUGGCUGUUCAAGUGAAUCACCAGAUUCCUCUAAAACAUAGUUCCGCAAAGCAGUUGAUCAUUAAGAAGUCAAUCGAUUUCCACAGUGUGAAACAAAUCAUCCACGAAGAUCAGUAUAAACACGCACACUCAUGCAUGAAAGGUGCCUAGAUUACUUGAGAAGGUUGGCCUGUUCUAGGAAAGUAACAACGAGCUCAGCGUACUUACGCAACUAAUUUAGAUUCUAGUUUUAGUGAACUUUGGGCUGCUGUUAAAUUGGGCUUAGUGUGCUUUUAGAUUGGGCUUAAGUCAUUUUGAAAAUGGAUUUAAUAUAAAAGCCCAUAAAUGUCAAUGGCCCAAGCGUGAGACUCCAAUUUUAGUUCAUUUUCGGAUUGGGUCCCAGGGCCCAGCCCAGUGUCCCUUUCCGAUUAUAAAAAAUUAAAAAAUUAUUUUAAGAAUAUUUUUCUAAAUCAGAAAAAUUCCAAAAAAAAUUCCAAAAAAAAUAUUUUUAGGGAAAAGCUUAAAUAUUACUUUUUGAGUAGUUUUUUUUUUUCUUAAAAUGUGUGAAAAUCAUUGACACUCAAAAAUUGAACACGCUCAUAAAGCUUUAUAUAAUAUAGUGUUGUUUGUUGUUAGAGACAAAUGUUAGGUUGUUGUGAUUAUGCGUUUUCAUGUCAAUUAUUAUUUAAUCGCACAUUUUCGAUACAUUGAUUAUUGUUUUCCUUUAGGCUAGUUUGGGAUAGAACCUUAUGACUCCUAAUUAGUAAGAAGACUUGCUGAAUAUUUUGGUUUGUAAAUAAGAUUAGGUCCUGAAAUUGUACUAAUUGAAUGAUCAGUGUAAAUAAGCCCCUGAACAUAGAUUUUUUGGUUGCGUAGGAAGUGAGUUAAACUUCCAUAUCUCUAGUUGACCCCAAUAGGUUAAUAGCAACUCAUCAUUAGAAAAUCUACAUAGUGCCAAUUUGAAUUAAUAACAAGUACCACAACGUUGCGCAAGAUAUGAGCUUGGGAGGAUGCAUGCUUAAUUGAGGGCUAUAGACUUGCUUUUUAGGCGAUACCCCUAAACUCAUAAGCUCUUGCCCUUUCAGAUGGAAAAAGUAGGUUGUGACAAACCCCACUCGUUAAUCGUAUUAAAUCUUUUAAGUUUUCAUGUGUCGAAAUACUUUAUAUAGGAACUACGAACAAAUGCUUGUGAUCAUAACGAAUUUAUGAUCGAGGAUCUAUAAAUUGGGAGACCGGAGAAACUACUCUAUCUAGUGACUUGUUACUAGUAGAGCAUGCAACACCAAAUACCGUGUAUUUGGCUAUCAAGUCUUAUUUAAAAUUUAAAGCUUUAUACUAACCAGUACCCGUACAACACUUAAUUUCGUACCAUUUGCUGUUGGAUUGUGCCUGAAGAUCGAACAAUUGGAAUGUUGUGUGUUAUAUAGACUAGCCUCACUUGAGGGUGAGAUAGUUUAAUUAGCUUGUGAUCCGAUGAUCAAAACUCGUUGAAUUUUUAGGAAAAGAAAUUUGAUAGUCGCAUUUUGCUUAAUAUUCAUAAUUGAUUGGAAAAAAUCACAUGUUUUUGAUGAAAUCAUUUCCUUGAAAAUUAUUAGACAAUAUAAACGUACAAGACGUGCUAAAACCUAUAAUUUUUUACGAGACCCAAACGUAUAUCAACAUUAAUGGCUAUUUUAGUCUAGUUUGAUGCAUCGGGUGCAUGCAAUAACUUCUCUUUAUGGAAUUAAGAUUUUCCAAGGGUUGCGACGAUUGUUGACCACUGAUUUAUUCUUGAAUGAAAGCACAUGCGUGGAUAGAUAUAUCUAUGCAGAAGAUUAUGGCGUUGUCGUUUACGUUAUUUUAAGGUAGCAAAACCACAGAAACACUUGCACCAUUCAUUACGCCCUCUUCGGCCAUAUGAUAUUUAAACAAAGGAUAUAAACGAUGCCUUCAUUGAUCUUCCAUGUGGGUAGAAAAUGAUAUUAUUACUCUUCUUCUCGCAUCAUUCCGCUUUUGAACGAGUCCACCAACUUCGCCAUCGCCACCCGCGACGACCCUCCCUCGCUCAACGCCUCCCUCGCCGCAUUCCUCAUCUCCGCCAUCCGCUCCCUUACUUCUCUGCCUUUCUCCGAGCACAUCAACUUGGUGACUCGCCCUGCGAACUCGUCCCUCGUCACGAACCCUCCUUCCGACUCGGCCACUGACAGUACCAGCUUCAGGUCCCAGGCAAGGUACGCCCUGAUCAGCUUCUGCUCCGCGAAGAGCGGCCAGACUAUCACGGGCACGCUGGCCCACAACGCCUCCAUCACCGAGUUCCAGCCGCAGUGGCUCACGAACCCGCCCACCGAGUCGUGGUUCAGCACGGCCACCUGCGGGGCCCACGACUUCAGCACUAGCCCUCUUUCCUUGGUUCUCUCCGUGAACCCAGGCGGAAAGAUCGCAUCCAUGCCUGAAGACAAAGGAAAUCGUUGGGUGUACUACCAAAUCUUAAGAAAAUCGUGCGAUUGAGAGCUCGUGAACUGAAUUAUUUGAUUUCUGACCGUGGUUCGCAGUCCCCCGUAUUAUCCUCGUACCACUCGAUGGAGACGAGACGCAAACAUACCUGGAUCAUCUUCUGAUUUAAUAGCUAAGUUGCGCCAGAUUUCAUCAUCUGGUGGUGGGUAACGGACCACCCACAAGAACCUGACCCCACUCCUCUCGAGAGCGUGAGCGAUCUCAGUCAGCUGCUUCGACGAGAACACCCCCAUGCUCCCGAAGCUCAUAAACAAGACGCUCCGGCUGGGCUGCGAGUCGAGCCAGCUGAGACAAUCGCCCCUGCUGAUGUGAUCGUUGGCCACCACGAGCGGCCCGAUGCAGUACACCGGCGGAGUCCGGCCGUCUGGCACGCACAGUCCCUCGGAUAUCGCUUUGACCGCCCUCGGCUCGAUCGCCUCGAACGUGUUGCAUAUGAGCCCGGCGGAUUCUGCCAGCCGCGUCGACGUUUCCAAGAAGUGGCCGUAGAUUCUGCUGCUCCGGUCCAGCAUUCUCAACGGCAUGUGCUUCGCCGGAAUGGGUGGUACGCCAGGGAUGUCGACGUUGCCGUCGAGGUCUUUCAAGCUGGUGGUGGUGAGCUUGUGUAGGGUGGGGAGGUAAAGAAACGCGGCGAGAGGGUUUGUGCCGGCAGGGUGGAAAUAGUACGUGGGGAGGUGAAGCGCGGCAGUGACCUCGGCAGCGGAGCUGUAGUAGAAGUCGAUGACGAGGGCUUUGGGCUUCUGCGACGGCUUGGAGGCGGAGAGCAUCUCCGACAAGGCUAGAUGGAGGUUGGGGUUGUUGAGGCGGGCGAACUCGAAGUACAUGGCCGGGUUGUCAGAGAAGCCGGUGGGGGCGGUGGAGAGAGAGGGGGGGAGGGAGACGGAAGGGAGGUGGAGGAAGGCGAUGGAAGGGCUGGCAGAGGAGACGGAGGAGAUGUAAGGAGUGAUGACAGGGAGGAGGUGGGGAGGGGAGGAGAUGAGGACGGUGACGGAGAGGCAAGAGUGGUGGCGGAGGAGGAACUGGGCGAGCUCCACCAGGGAAUUGAGGUGGGCUCUUCCCGGCGACGGGUACAUCACGACGUGACAUUUGUCUGCCUUCUCCAUC